rnacentral:lncRNA from 1 species
UUUCCACCCCUCCCUCCAUACCGCAGCAACACGAGUUUUUUCCACUCCUUUCAGAACGCGCUCUUCGCGCCACAAAGCCGCCCCAAGACGCGCGAGCAAUGAGCAUCGAGCUUAAACAUGUCGCAAACGUCAAAAAUAAUAUAACGGGAUUAAUAUAUAUCGCGCAUGUGCGAUAUGUUUGUCACAAGGCGCAAAAAAUAAUUAAAAAGGGAAUGCAACACGAGGACUUCCCAGGAGGUCACCCAUCCUAGUACUACUCUCGCCCAAGCACGCUUAACUUCGGAGUUCUGAUGGGAUCCGGUGCUUUAGUGCUGGUAUGAUCGCGUCCGACAUGUUUCCCCGUCUUCGUCCCUUAUGUGUGCCACUCUCAGGUCCGCUCCAAAGACGAUUCUACAUUCUCACUACCAUUACAACCGUUCCCUAACAAUGGAUAAUGUCAUAUACUACUUAUUCUCCCGCUCAAUCACGGAGACGAGUUUUCCACGGUUUCCACCCCUCCCUCCAUACCGCAGCAACAUGAGUUUUUUCCACCCCUUUCAGAACGCGCUCUUCGCGCCACAAAGCCGCCCCAAGACGCGCGAGCAAUGAGCAUCGAGCUUAAACAUAUCGCAAACGUCAAAAAUAAUAUAACGGGAUUAAUAUAUAGCGCGCACGUGCGAUAUGUUUGUCACAAGGCGCAAAAAAUAAUUAAAAAGGGAAUGCAACACGAGGACUUCCCAGGAGGUCACCCAUCCUAGUACUACUCUCACCCAAGCACGCUUAACUUCGGAGUUCUGAUGGGAUCCGGUGCUUUAGUGCUGGUAUGAUCGCGUCCGACAUGUUUCCCCGUCUUCGUCCCUUAUGCUUGCCACUCUCAGGUCCGCUCCAAAGACGAUUCUACAUUCUCACUACCAUUACAACCGUUCCCUAACAAUGGAUAAUGUCCUAUACUACUUAUUCUCCCGCUCAAUCACGGAGACGAGUUUUCCACGGUUUCCACCCCUCCCUCCAUACCGCAGCAACACGAGUUUUUUCCACCCCUUUCAGAACGCGCUCUUCGCGCCACAAAGCCGCCCCAAGACGCGCGAGCAAUGAGCAUCGAGCUUAAACAUAUCGCAAACGUCAAAAAUAAUAUAACGGGAUUAAUAUAUAUCGCGCACGUGCGAUAUGUUUGUCAUAAGGCGCAAAAAAUAAUUAAAAAGGGAAUGCAACACGAGGACUUCCCAGGAGGUCACCCAUCCUAGUACUACUCUCGCCCAAGCACGCUUAGCUUCGGAGUUCCGAUGGGAUCCGGUGCUUUAGUGCUGGUAUGAUCGCAUCCGACAUGUUUCCCCAUCUUCGUCCCUUAUGCUUGCCACUCCCAGGUCCGCUCCAAAGACGAUUCUACAUUCUCACUACCAUUACAACCGUUCCCUAACAAUGGAUACUGUCCUAUACUACUUACUCUCCCGCUCAAUCACGGAGACGAGUUUUCCACGGUUUCCACCCCUCCCUCCAUACCGCAGCAACACGAGUUUUUUCCACCUCUUUCAAAACGCGCUCUUCGUGCCACAAAGCCGCCCCAAGACGCGCGAGCAAUGAGCAUCGAGCUUAAACAUAUCGCAAAUGUCAAAAAUAAUAUAACGGGAUUAAUAUAUAUCGCGCACGUGCGAUAUGUUUGUCACAAGGCGCAAAAAAUAAUUAAAAAGGGAAUGCAACAUGAGGACUUCCCAGGAGGUCACCCAUGCUAGUACUACUCUCGCCCAAGCACGCUUAACUUCGGAGUUCUGAUGGGAUCCGGUGCUUUAGUGCUGGUAUGAUCACAUCCGACAUGUUUCCCCGUCUUUGUCCCUUAUGCUUGCAACUCCCAGGUCCGCUCCAAAGACGAUUCUACAUUCUCACUACCAUUACAACUCUUCCCUAACAAUGGAUAAUGUCCUAUACUACUUACUCUCACGCUCAAUCACGGAGACGGGUUUUCCAUGGUUUCCACCCCUCCCUCCAUACCGCAGCAACACGAGUUUUUUCCACUCCUUUCAGAACGCGCUCUUCGCGCCACAAAGCCGCCCCAAGACGCGCGAGCAAUGAGCAUCGAGCUUAAACAUGUCGCAAACGUCAAAAAUAAUAUAACGGGAUUAAUAUAUAUCGCGCAUGUGCGAUAUGUUUGUCACAAGGCGCAAAAAAUAAUUAAAAAGGGAAUGCAACACGAGGACUUCCCAGGAGGUCACCCAUCCUAGUACUACUCUCGCCCAAGCACGCUUAACUUCGGAGUUCUGAUGGGAUCCGGUGCUUUAGUGCUGGUAUGAUCGCGUCCGACAUGUUUCCCCGUCUUCGUCCCUUAUGCUUGCCACUCUCAGGUCCGCUCCAAAGACGAUUCUACAUUCUCACUACCAUUACAACCGUUCCCUAACAAUGGAUAAUGUCCUAUACUACUUAUUCUCCCGCUCAAUCACGGAGACGAGUUUUCCACGGUUUCCACCCCUCCCUCCAUACCGCAGCAACACGAGUUUUUUCCACCCCUUUCAGAACGCGCUCUUCGCGCCACAAAGCCGCCCCAAGACGCGCGAGCAAUGAGCAUCGAGCUUAAACAUAUCGCAAACGUCAAAAAUAAUAUAACGGGAUUAAUAUAUAUCGCGCACGUGCGAUAUGUUUGUCAUAAGGCGCAAAAAAUAAUUAAAAAGGGAAUGCAACACGAGGACUUCCCAGGAGGUCACCCAUCCUAGUACUACUCUCGCCCAAGCANNNNNNNNNNUGCUUUAGUGCUGGUAUGAUCGCAUCCGACAUGUUUCCCCGUCUUCGUCCCUUAUGCUUGCCACUCCCAGGUCCGCUCCAAAGACGAUUCUACAUUCUCACUACCAUUACAACCGUUCCCUAACAAUGGAUAAUGUCCUAUACUACUUACUCUCCCGCUCAAUCACGGAGACGAGUUUUCCACGGUUUCCACCCCUCCCUCCAUACCGCAGCAACACGAGUUUUUUCCACCCCUUUCAGAACGCGCUCUUCGCGCCACAAAGCCGCCCCACGACGCGCGAGCAAUGAGCAUCGAGCUUAAACAUAUCGCAAACGUCAAACAUAAUAUAACGGGAUUAAUAUAUAUCGCGCACGUGCGACAUGUUUGUCACAAGGCGCAAAAAAUAAUUAUAAAAGGAAUGCAACACGAGGACUUCCCAGGAGGUCACCCAUCCUAGUACUACUCUCGCCCAAGCACGCUUAACUUCGGAGUUCUGAUGGGAUCCGGUGCUUUAGUGCUGGUAUGAUCGCAUCCGACAUGUUUCCCCGUCUUCGUCCCUUAUGCUUGCCACUCCCAGGUCCGCUCCNNNNNNNNNNCCCAAGCACGCUUAACUUCGGAGUUCUGAUGGGAUCCGGUGCUUUAGUGCUGGUAUGAUCGCGUCCGACAUGUUUCCCCGUCUUCGUCCCUUAUGCUUGCCACUCUCAGGUCCGCUCCAAAGACGAUUCUACAUUCUCACUACCAUUACAACCGUUCCCUAACAAUGGAUAAUGUCCUAUACUACUUAUUCUCCCGCUCAAUCACGGAGACGAGUUUUCCACGGUUUCCACCCCUCCCUCCAUACCGCAGCAACACGAGUUUUUUCCACCCCUUUCAGAACGCGCUCUUCGCGCCACAAAGCCGCCCCAAGACGCGCGAGCAAUGAGCAUCGAGCUUAAACAUAUCGCAAACGUCAAAAAUAAUAUAACGGGAUUAAUAUAUAUCGCGCACGUGCGAUAUGUUUGUCAUAAGGCGCAAAAAAUAAUUAAAAAGGGAAUGCAACACGAGGACUUCCCAGGAGGUCACCCAUCCUAGUACUACUCUCGCCCAAGCAUGCUUAACUUCGGAGUUCUGAUGGGAUCCGGUGCUUUAGUGCUGGUAUGAUCGCGUCCGACAUGUUUCCCCGUCUUCGUCCCUUAUGCUUGCCACUCUCAGGUCCGCUCCAAAGACGAUUCUACAUUCUUACCACCAUUACAACCGUUCCAUAACAAUGGAUAAUGUCCUAUACUACUUACUCUCCCGCUCAAUCACGGAGACGAGUUUUCCACGGUGUCCACCCCUCCCUCCAUACCGCAGGAACACGAGUUUUUUCCACCUCUUUCAGAACGCGCUCUUCGCGCCACAAAGCCGCCCCAAGACGCGCGAGCAAUGAGCAUCGAGCUUAAACAUAUCGCAAACGUCAAAACUAAUAUAACGAGAUUAAUAUAUAUCGCGCGCGUGCGAUAUGUUUGUCACAAGGCGCAAAAAAUAAUUAAAAAGAGAAUGCAACACGAGGACUUCCCAGGAGGUCACCCAUCCUAGUACUAAUCUCACCCAAGCACGCUUAACUUCGGAGUUCUGAUGGGAUCCGGUGCUUUAGUGCUGGUAUGAUCGCAUCCGACAUGUUUCCCCGUCUUCGUCCCUUAUGCUUGCCACUCCCAGGUCCGCUCCAAAGACGAUUCUACAUUCUCACUACCAUUACAACCCAUCCCUAACAAUGGAUAAUGUCCUAUACUACUUACUCUCCCGCUCAAUCACCGAGACGAGUUUUCCACGGUUUCCACCCCUCCCUCCAUACCGAAGCAACACGAGUUUUUUCCACCCCUUUCAGAACGCGCUCUUCGCGCCACAAAGCCGCCCCAAGACGCGCGAGCAAUGAGCAUCGAGCUUAAACAUAUCGCAAACGUCAAAAAUAAUAUAACGGGAUUAAUAUAUAUCGCGCAUGUGCGAUAUGUUUGUCACAAGGCGCAAAAAAUAAUUAAAAAGGGAAUGCAACACGAGCACUUCCUAGGAGGUCACCCAUCCUAGUACUACUCUCGCCCAAGCACGCUUAACUUCGGAGUUAUGACGGGAUCCGGUGCUUUAGUGCUAGUAUGAUCGCAUCCGACAUGUUUCCCCGUCUUCGUCCCUUAUGCGUGCCACUCUCAGGUCCGCUCCAAAGACGAUUCUACAUUCUCACUACCAUUACAACCGUUCCCUAACAAUGGAUAAUGUCCUAUACUACUUACUCUCCCACUCAAUCACGGAGACGAGUUUUCCACGGUUUCCACCCCUCCCUCCAUACCGCAGCAACACGAGUUUUUUCCACCCCUUUCAGAACGCGCUCUUCGCGCCACAAAGCCGCCCCAAGACGCGCGAGCAAUAAGCAUCGAGCUUAAACAUAUCGCAAACUUCAAAAAUAAUAUAAUCGGAUUAAUAUAUAUCGCGCACGUGCGAUCUGUUUGUCACAAGGCGCAAAAAAUAAUUAAAAAGGGAAUGCAACACGAGGACUUCCCAGGAGGUCACCCAUCCUAGUACUACUCUUGCCCAAGCACGCUUAACUUCGGAGUUCUGAUGGGAUCCGGUGCUUUAGUGUUGAUAUGAUCGCAUCCGACAUGUUUCCCCGUCUUCGUCCCUUAUGCUUGCCACUCCCAGGUCCGCUCCAAAGACGAUUCUACAUUCUCACGACCAUUACAACCGUUCCAUAACAAUGGAUAAUGUCCUAUACUACUUACUCUCCCGCUCAAUCACGGAGACGAGUUUUCCACGGUUUCCACCCCUCCCUCCAUACCGCAGCAACACGAGUUUUUUCCACCUCUUUCAGAACGCGCUCUUCGCGCCACAAAGCCACCCCAAGACGCGCGAGCAAUGAGCAUCGAGCUUAAACAUAUCGCAAACGUCAAAACUAAUAUAACGAGAUUAAUAUAUAUCGCGCGCGUGCGAUAUGUUUGUCACAAGGCGCAAAAAAUAAUUAAAAAGGGAAUGCAACACGAGGACUUCCCAGGAGGUCACCCAUCCUAGUACUACUCUCGCCCAAGCACGCUUAACUUCGGAGUUCUGAUGUGAUCCGGUGCUUUAGUGCUGGUAUGAUCGCUUCCGACAUGUUUCCCCGUCUUCGUCCCUUAUGCUUGCCACUCCCAGGUCCGCUCCAAAGACGAUUCUACAUUCUCACUACCAUUACAACCAUUCCCUAACAAUGGAUAAUGUCCUAUACUACUUACUCUCCCGCUCAAUCACGGAGACGAGUUUUCCACGGUUUCCACCCCUCCCUCCAUACCACAGCAACACGAGUUUUUUCCACCCCUUUCGGAACGCACUCUUCGCGCCACAAAGCCGCCCCAAGACGCGCGAGCAAUGAGCAUCGAGCUUAAACAUAUCGCAAACGUCAAAAAUAAUAUAACGGGAUUAAUAUAUGUCGCGCACGUGCGAUAUGUUUGUCACAAGGCGCAAAAAAUAAUUAAAAAGGGAACUUUGCAGUUCUGAUGGGAUCCAGUGCUGGUAUGAUCACAUCCAACAUGUUUCCCCGUCUUCGUCCCUUAUGCUUGCCACUCCCAGGUCCGCUCCAAAGACGAUUCUACAUUCUCACUACCAUUACAACCGUUCCCUAAGAAUGGAUAAUGUUCUAUACUACUUACUCUCCUGCUCAAUCACGGAGACGAGUUUUCCACGGUUUCCACCCCUGCCUCCAUACCGCAGCAACACGAGUUUUUUCCACCCCUUUCAGAAUGCGCUCUUCGCGCCACAAAGCCACCUCAAGACGCGCGCGCAACGAGCAUCGAGCUUAAACAUAUCGCAAACGUCAAACAUAAUAUAACGAGAUUAAUAUAUAUCGCGCACGUGCGACAUGUUUGUCACAAGGCGCAAAAAAUAAUUAUAAAAGGAAUGCAACACGAGGACUUCCCAGGAGGUCACUCAUCCUAGUACUACUCUCGCCCAAGCACGCUUAACUUCGGAGUUUUGAUGGGAUCCGGUGCUUUAGUGCUGGUAUGAUCGCAUCCGACAUGUUUCCCCGUCUUCGUCCCUUAUGCUUGCCACUCCCAGGUCCGCUCCAAAGACGAUUCUACAUUCUCACUACCAUUACAACCGUUCCCUAACAAUGGAUAAUGUCCUAUACUACUUACUCUCCCGCUCAAUCACGGAGACGAGUUUUCCACGGUGUCCACCCCCUCCCUCUAUACCGCAGCAACACGAGUUUUUUCCACCCCUUUCAGAACGCGCUCUUCGCGCCACAAAGCCGCCCCAAGACGCGCGAGCAAUGAGCAUCGAGCUUAAACAUAUCGCAAACGUCAAAAAUAAUAUAACGGGAUUAAUAUAUAUCGCGCACGUGCGAUAUGUUUGUCACAAGGCGCGAAAAAUAAUUAAAAAGGGAAUGCAACACGUGGACUUCCCAGGAGGUCACCCAUCCUAGUACUACUCUCGCCCAAGCACGCUUAACUUCGGAGUUCCGAUGGGAUCCGGUGCUUUAGUGCUGGUAUGAUCACAUCCAACAUGUUUCCCCGUCUUCGUCCCUUAUGCUCGCCACUCCCAGGUCCGCUCCAAAGACGAUUCUACAUUCUCACUACCAUUACAACCGUUCCCUAACAAUGGAUAAUGUUCUAUACUACUUACUCUCCUGCUCAAUCACAGAGACGAGUUUUCCACGGUUUCCACCCGUCCCUCCAUACCGCAGCAACACGAGUUUUUGCCACCCCUUUCAGAACGCGCUCUUCGCGCCACAAAGCCACCCCAAGACGCGCGAGCAAUGAGCAUCGAGCUUAAACAUAUCGCAAACAUCAAAAAUAAUAUAACGAGAUUAAUAUAUAUCGCGCACGUGAGAUAUGUUUGUCACAAGGCGCAAAAAAUAAUUAAAAAGGAAAUGCAACACGAGGACUUCCCAGGACGUCACCCAUCCUAGUACUACUCCUGCCCAAGCACACUUAACUUCGGAGUUCUGAUGGGAUCCGGUGCUUUAGUGCUGGUAUGAUCGCAUCCGACAUGUUUCCCCGUCUUCGUCCCUUAUGCUUGCCACUCCCAGGUCCGCUCCAAAGACGAUUCUACAUUCUCACUACCAUUACAACCAUUCCCUAACAAUGGAUAAUGUCCUAUACUACUUACUCUCCCGCUCAAUCAUGGAGACGAGUUUUCCACGGUUUCCACCCCUCCCUCUAUACCGCAGCAACACGAGUUUUUUCCACCCCUUUCAGAACGCGCUCUUCGCGCCACAAAGCCGCCCCAAGACGCGCGAGCAAUGAGCAUCGAGCUUAAACAUAUCGCAAACGUCAAAAAUAAUAUAACGGGAUUAAUAUAUAUCGCGUACAUGCGAUAUGUUUUCACAAGGCGCAAAAAAAAAUUAAAAAGGGAAUGCAACACGAGGACUUCCCAGGAGGUCACCCAUCCUAGUACUACUCUCGCCCAAGCACGCUUAGCUUCGGAGUUCUGAUGGGAUCCGGUGCUUUAGUGCUGGUAUGUUCGCAUCCGACAUGUUUCCCCGUAUUCGUCCCUUAUGCUUGCCAUUCCCAGGUCCGCUCCAAAGACGAUUCUACAUUCUCACUACCAUUACAACCGUUACCUAACAAUGGAUAAUGUCCUAUACUACUUACUCUCCCGCUCAAUCACGGAGACGAGUUUUCCACGGUUUCCACCCAUCCCUCCAUAACGCAGCAACACGAGUUUUUUCCACCCCUUUCAAAACGCGCUCUUCGCGCCACAAAGCCACCCCAAGACGCGCGAGCAAUGAGCAUCGAGCUUAAACAUAUCGCAAACGUCAAAAAUAAUAUAACGGGAUUAAUAUAUAUCGCGCAUGUGCGAUAUGUUUGUCACAAGGCGCAAAAAAUAAUUAAAAAGGGAAUGCAACACGAGGACUUCCUAGGAGGUCACCCAUCCUAGUACUACUCUCGCCCAUGCACGCUUAGCUUCGGAGUUCUGAUGGGAUCCGGUGCUUUAGUGCUGGUAUGAUCGCAUCCGACAUGUUUCCCCGUCUUCGUCCCUUAUGCUUGCCAUUCCCAGGUCCGCUCCAAAGACGAUUCUACAUUCUCACUACCAUUACAACCGUUACCUAACAAUGGAUAAUGUCCUAUACUACUUACUCUCCCGCUCAAUCACGGAGACGAGUUUUCCACGGUUUCCACCCAUCCCUCCAUACCGCAGCAACACGAGUUUUUUCCACCCCUUUCAGAAUGCGCUCUUCGCGCCAGAAAGCCGCCCCAAGACGCGCGAGCAAUGAGCAUCGAGCUUAAAUAUAUCGCAAACGUCAAAAAUAAUAUAACGGGAUUAAUAUAUAUCGCGCACGUGCGAUAUGUUUGUCACAAGGCGCAAAAAAUAAUUAAAAAGGGAAUGCAACACGAGGACUUCCCAGGAGGUCACCCAUCCUAGUACUACUCUCGCCCAAGCACGCUUAGCUUCAGAGUUCUGAUGGGAUCUGGUGCUUUAGUGCUGGUAUGAUCGCAUCCGACAUGUUUCCCCGUCUUCGUCCCUUAUGCUUGCCACUCCCAGGUCCGCUCCAAAGACGAUUCUACAUACUCACUACCAUUACAACCGUUCCCUAACAAUGGAUAAUGUCCUAUACUACUUACUCUCCCGCUCAAUCACGGAGACGAGUUUUCCACGGUUUCCACCCCUCCCUCCAUACCGAAGCAACACGAGUUUUUUCCACCCCUUUCAGAACGCGCUCUUCGCGCCACAAAGCCGCCCUAAGACGCGCGAGCAAUGAGCAUCGAGCUUAAACAUAUCGCAAACGUCAAAAAUAAUAUAACGGGAUUAAUAUAUAUCGCGCACGUGCGAUAUGUUUGUCACAAGGCGUCUCCCGCUCAAUCACGGAGACGAGUUUUCCACGGUUUCCACCCCUCCCUCCAUACCGAAGCAACACGAGUUUUUUCCACCCCUUUCAGAACGCGCUCUUCGCGCCACAAAGCCGCCCUAAGACGCGCGAGCAAUGAGCAUGUAGCUUAAACAUAUCGCAAACGUCAAAAAUAAUAUAACGGGAUUAAUAUAUAUCGCGCACAUGCGAUAUGUUUGUCACAAGGCGCAAAAAAAAAUUAAAAAGGGAAUGCAACACGAGGACUUCCCAGGAGGUCACCCAUCCUAGUACUACUCUCGCCCAAGCACGCUUAGCUUCGGAGUUCUGAUGGGAUCCGGUGCUUUAGUGCUGGUAUGUUCGCAUCCGACAUGUUUCCCCGUAUUCGUCCCUUAUGCUUGCCAUUCCCAGGUCCGCUCCAAAGACGAUUCUACAUUCUCACUACCAUUACAACCGUUACCUAACAAUGGAUAAUGUCCUAUACUACUUACUCUCCCGCUCAAUCACAGAGACGAGUUUUCCACGGUUUCCACCCAUCCCUCCAUAACGCAGCAACACGAGUUUUUUCCACCCCUUUCAAAACGCGCUCUUCGCGCCACAAAGCCACCCCAAGACGCGCGAGCAAUGAGCAUCGAGCUUAAACAUAUCGCAAACGUCAAAAAUAAUGUAACGGGAUUAAUAUAUAUCGCGCAUGUGCGAUAUGUUUGUCACAAGGCGCAAAAAAUAAUUAAAAAGGGAAUGCAACACGAGGACUUCCUAGGAGGUCACCCAUCCUAGUACUACUCUCGCCCAUGCACGCUUAGCUUCGGAGUUCUGAUGGGAUCCGGUGCUUUAGUGCUGGUAUGAUCGCAUCCGACAUGUUUCCCCGUCUUCGUCCCUUAUGCUUGCCAUUCCCAGGUCCGCUCCAAAGACGAUUCUACAUUCUCACUACCAUUACAACCGUUACCUAACAAUGGAUAAUGUCCUAUACUACUUACUCUCCCGCUCAAUCACGGAGACGAGUUUUCCACGGUUUCCACCCAUCCCUCCAUACCGCAGCAACACGAGUUUUUUCCACCCCUUUCAGAACGCGCUCUUCGCGCCAGAAAGCCGCCCCAAGACGCGCGAGCAAUGAGCAUCGAGCUUAAACAUAUCGCAAACGUCAAAAAUAAUAUAACGGGAUUAAUAUAUUUCGCGCACGUGCGAUAUGUUUGUCAUAAGGCGCAAAAAAUAAUUAAAAAGGGAAUGCAACACGAGGACUUCCCAGGAGGUCACCCAUCCUAGUACUACUCUCGCCCAAGCACGCUUAGCUUCAGAGUUCUGAUGGGAUCUGGUGCUUUAGUGCUGGUAUGAUCGCAUCCGACAUGUUUCCCCGUCUUCGUCCCUUAUGCUUGCCACUCCCAGGUCCGCUCCAAAGACGAUUCUACAUACUCACUACCAUUACAACCGUUCCCUAACAAUGGAUAAUGUCCUAUACUACUUACUCUCCCGCUCAAUCACGGAGACGAGUUUUCCACGGUUUCCACCCCUCCCUCCAUACCGAAGCAACACGAGUUUUUCCACCCCUUUCAGAACGUGCUCUUCGCGCCACAAAGCCGCCCUAAGACGCGCGAGCAAUGAGCAUCGAGCUUAAACAUAUCGCGAACGUCAAAAAUAAUAUAACGGGAUUAAUAUAUAUCGCGCACGUGCGAUAUGUUUGUCACAAGGCGUCUCCCGCUCAAUCACGGAGACGAGUUUUCCACGGUUUCCACCCCUCCCUCCAUACCGAAGCAACACGAGUUUUUUCCACCCCUUUCAGAACGCGCUCUUCACGCCACAAAGCCGCCCUAAGAUGCGCGAGCAAUGAGCAUCGAGCUUAAACAUAUCGCAAACGUCAAAAAUAAUAUAACGGGAUUAAUAUAUAUCGCGCACGUGCGAUAUGUUUGUCACAAGGCGCAAAAAAUAAUUAAAAAGGGAAUGCAACACGAGGACUUCCCAGGAGGUCACCCAUCCUAGUACUACUCUCGCCCAAGCACGCUUAACUUCAGAGUUCUUAUGGGAUACGAUGCUUUAGUGCUGGUAUGAUCGCAUCCGACAUGUUUCCCCGUCUUCGUCCCUUAUGCUUGCCACUCCCAGGUCCGCUCCAAAGACGAUUCUACACUCUCACUACCAUUACAACCGUUCCCUAACAAUGGAUAAUGUCCUAUACUACUUACUCUCCCGCUCAAUCACGGAGACGAGUUUUUCCACGGCUUCCACCCCUCCCUCCAUACCGCAGCAACACAAGUUUUUUCCACCCCUUCCAGAACGCGCUCUUCGCGCCACAAAGCCGCCCCAAGACGCGCGAGGAAUGAGCAUCGAGCUUAAACAUAUCGCAAACGUCAAAAAUAAUAUAACGGGAUUAAUAUAUAUCGCGCACGUGCGAUAUGUUUGUCACAAGGCGCAAAAAAUAAUUAAAAAGGGCAUGCAACACGAGGACUUCCCAGGAGGUCACCCAUCCUAGUACUACUCUCGCCCAAGCACGCUUAACUUCAGAGUUCUGAUGGGAUCCGGUGCUUUAGUGCUGGUAUGAUCACAUCCGAUAUGUUUCCCCGUCUUCGUCCCUUAUGCUUGCCAUUCCUAGGUCCGCUCCAAAGACGAUUCUACAUUCUCACAACCAUUACGACCGUUACCUAAUAAUGGAUAAUGUCCUAUACUACUUACUCUCCCGCUCAAUCACGGAGACGAGUUUUCCACGGUUUCCACCCCUCCCUCCAUACCGCAACAGCACGAGUUUUUUCCACCCCUUUCAGAACGCGCUCUUCGCGCCACAAAGCCACCCCAAGACGCGCGAGCAAUGAGCAUCGAGCUUAAACAUAUCGCAAACGUCAAAAAUAAUAUAACGGGAUUAAUAUAUAUCGCGCACGUGCGAUAUGUUUGUCACAAGGCGCAAAAAAUAAUUAGGAAGGGAAUGCAACACAAGGACUUCCCAGGAGGUCACCCAUCCUAGUACUACUCUCGCCCAAGCACGCUUAGCUUCGGAGUUCUGACGGGAUCCGGUGCUUUAGUGCUGGUAUGAUCGCAUCCGACAUGUUUCCUCGUCUUAGUCCCUUAUGCUUGCCAUUCCCAGGUCCGCUCCAAAGACGAUUCUACAUUCUCACUACCAUUACAACCGUUACCUAACAAUGGAUAAUGUCCUAUACUACUUACUCUCCCGCUCAAUCACGGAGACGAGUUUUCCACGGUUUCCACCCCUCCCUCCAUACCGCAGCAACACGAGUUUUUUCCACCCCUUUCAGAAGGCGCUCUUCGCGCCACAAAUCCACCCCAAGACGCGCGAACAAUGAGCAUCGAGCUUAAACAUAUUGCAAACGUCAAAAAUAAUAUAACGGGAUUAAUAUAUAUCGCGCACGUGCGAUAUGUUUGUCACAAGGCACAAAAAAUAAUUAAAAAGGGAAUGCAACACGAGGACUUCCCAGGAGGUCACCCAUCCUAGUACUACUCUUGCUCAAGCACGCUUAGCUUCGGAGUUCUGAUGGGAUCCGGUGCUUUAGUGCUGGUAUGAUCGCAUCCGACAUGUUUCCCCGUCUUCGUCCCUUAUGCUUGCCACUCCCAGGUCCGCUCCAAAGACGAUUCUACAUUCUCACUACCAUUACAACCGUUCCCUAACAAUGGAUAAGGUCCUAUACUACUUACUCUCCCGCUCAAUCACGGAGACGAGUUUUCCACGGCUUCCACCCCUCCCUCCAUACCGCAGCAACACGAGUUUUUUCCACCCCUUUCAGAACGCGCUCUUCGCGCCACAAAGCCACCCCAAGACGCGCGAGGAAUGAGCAUCGAGCUUAAACAUAUCGCAAACGUCAAAAAUAAUAUAACGGGAUUAAUAUAUAUCGCGCACGUGCGAUAUGUUUGUCACAAGGCGCAAAAAAUAAUUAAAAAGGGAAUGCAACACGAGUACUUCCCAGGAGGUCACCCAUCCUAGUACUACUCUCGCCCAAGCACGCUUAACUUCAGAGUUCUGAUGGGAUCCGGUGCCUUAGUGCUGGUAUGAUCGCAUCCGACAUGUUUCCGUGUCUUUGUCCCUUAUGCUUGCCAUUCCCAGGUCCGCUCCAAAGACGAUUCUACAUUCUCACUACCUUUACAACCGUUACCUAACAGUGGAUAAUGUCCUAUACUACUUACUCUCCCGCUCAAUCACGGAGACGAGUUUUCCACGGUUUCCACCCCUCCCUCCAUACCGCAGCAACACGAGUUUUUUCCACCCCUUUCAGAACGCGCUCUUGGCGCCACAAAGCCACCCCAAGACGCGCGAGCAAUGAGCAUCGAGCUUAAACAUAUCGCAAACGUCAAAAAUAAUAUAACGGGAUUAAUAUAUAUCGCGCACGUGCGAUAUGUUUGUCACAAGGCGCAAAAAAUAAUUAAAAAGGGAAUGCAACACGAGGACUUCCCAGGAGGUCACCCAUCCUAGUACUACUCUCGCCCAAGCACGCUUAGCUUCGGAGUUCUGAUGGGAUCUGGUGCUUUAGUGAUGGUAUGAUCGCAUCCGACAUGUUUCCCCGUCUUCGUCCCUUAUGCUUGCCACUCCCAGGUCCGCUCCAAAGACGAUUCUACAUUCUCACUACCAUUACAAACGUUCCCUAACAAUGGAUAAUGUCCUAUACUACUUACUCUCCCGCUCAAUCACGGAGACGAGUUUUCCACGGUUUCCACCCCUCCCUCCAUACCGCAGCAACACGAGUUUUUUCCACCUCUUUCAGAAGGCGCUCUUCGCGCCACAAAGCCGCCCCAAGACGCGCGAGCAAGGAGCAUCGAGCUUAAACAUAUCGCAAACGUCAAAAAUAAUAUAACGGGAUUAAUAUAUAUCGCGCACGUGCGAUAUGUUUGUCACAAGGCGCAAAAAAUAAUUAAAAAGGGAAUGCAACACGAGGACUUCCUAGGAGGUCACCCAUCCUAGUACUACUCUCGCCCAAGCACGCUUAACUUCGGAGUUCUGAUGGGAUCCGAUGCUUUAGUGCUGGUAUGAUCGCAUCCGACAUGUUUCCCCGUCUUCGUCCCUUAUGCUUGCCACUCCCAGGUCCGCUCCAAAGACGAUUCUACAUUCUCACUACCAUUACAACCGUUCCCUAAGAAUGGAUAAUGUCCUAUACUACUUACUCUCCCGCUCAAUCACGGAGACGAGUUUUCCACGGCUUCCACCCCUCCCUCCAUACCGCAGCAACACGAGUUUUUUCCACCCCUUUCAGGACGCGCUCUUCGCGCCACAAAGCCGCCCCAAGACGCGCGAGGAAUGAGCAUCGAGCUUAAACAUAUCGCAAACGUCAAAAAUAAUAUAACGGGAUUAAUAUAUAUCGCGCACGUGCGAUAUGUUUGUCACAAGGCGCAAAAAAUAAUUAAAAAGGGAAUGCAACACGAGGACUUCCCAGGAGGUCACCCAUCCUACUACUACUCUCGCCCAAGCACGCUUAACUUCAGAGUUCUGAUGGGAUCCGGUGCUUUAGUGCUGGUAUGAUCGCAUCCGACAUCUUUCCCCGUCUUCGUCCCUUAUGCUUGCCACUCCCAGCUUCGCUCCAAAGACGAUUCUACAUUCUCACUACCAUUACAACCGUUCCCUAACAAUGGAUAAUGUCCUAUACUACUUACUCUCCCGCUCAAUCACGGAGACGAAUUUUCCACUGUUUCCACCCCUCCAUCCAUACCGCGGCAACACGAGUUUUUUCCACCCCUUUCAGAACGCGCUCUUCGCGCCACAAAGCCGCCCCAAGACGCGCGAGCAAUGAGCAUCGAGCUUAAACAUAUCGCAAACGUCAAAAAUAAUAUAACGGGAUUAAUAUAUAUCNNNNNNNNNNCAGGAGGUCACCCAUCCUAGUACUACUCUCGCCCAAGCACGCUUAGCUUCGGAGUUCUGAUGGGAUCUGGUGCUUUAGUGAUGGUAUGAUCGCAUCCGACAUGUUUCCCCGUCUUCGUCCCUUAUGCUUGCCACUCCCAGGUCCGCUCCAAAGACGAUUCUACAUUCUCACUACCAUUACAAACGUUCCCUAACAAUGGAUAAUGUCCUAUACUACUUACUCUCCCGCUCAAUCACGGAGACGAGUUUUCCACGGUUUCCACCCCUCCCUCCAUACCGCAGCAACACGAGUUUUUUCCACCUCUUUCAGAAGGCGCUCUUCGCGCCACAAAGCCGCCCCAAGACGCGCGAGCAAGGAGCAUCGAGCUUAAACAUAUCGCAAACGUCAAAAAUAAUAUAACGGGAUUAAUAUAUAUCGCGCACGUGCGAUAUGUUUGUCACAAGGCGCAAAAAAUAAUUAAAAAGGGAAUGCAACACGAGGACUUCCUAGGAGGUCACCCAUCCUAGUACUACUCUCGCCCAAGCACGCUUAACUUCGGAGUUCUGAUGGGAUCCGAUGCUUUAGUGCUGGUAUGAUCGCACCCGACAUGUUUCCCCGUCUUCGUCCCUUAUGCUUGCCACUCCCAGGUCCGCUCCAAAGACGAUUCUACAUUCUCACUACCAUUACAACCGUUCCCUAAGAAUGGAUAAUGUCCUAUACUACUUACUCUCCCGCUCAAUCACGGAGACGAGUUUUCCACGGCUUCCACCCCUCCCUCCAUACCGCAGCGACACGAGUUUUUUCCACCCCUUUCAGGACGCGCUCUCCGCGCCACAAAGCCGCCCCAAGACGCGCGAGGAAUGAGCAUCGAGCUUAAACAUAUCGCAAACGUCAAAAAUAAUAUAACGGGAUUAAUAUAUAUCGCGCACGUGCGAUAUGUUUGUCACAAGGCGCAAAAAAUAAUUAAAAAGGGAAUGCAACACGAGGACUUCCCAGGAGGUCACCCAUCCUACUACUACUCUCGCCCAAGCACGCUUAACUUCAGAGUUCUGAUGGGAUCCGGUGCUUUAGUGCUGGUAUGAUCGCAUCCGACAUCUUUCCCCGUCUUCGUCCCUUAUGCUUGCCACUCCCAGCUCCGCUCCAAAGACGAUUCUACAUUCUCACUACCAUUACAACCGUUCCCUAACAAUGGAUAAUGUCCUAUACUACUUACUCUCCCGCUCAAUCACGGAGACGAAUUUUCCACUGUUUCCACCCCUCCAUCCAUACCGCGGCAACACGAGUUUUUUCCACCCCUUUCAGAACGCGCUCUUCGCGCCACAAAGCCGCCCCAAGACGCGCGAGCAAUGAGCAUCGAGCUUAAACAUAUCGCAAACGUCAAAAAUAAUAUAACGGGAUUAAUAUAUAUCACGCACGUGCGAUAUGUUUGUCACAAGGCGCAAAAAAUAAUUAAAAAGGGAAUGCAACACGAGGACUUCACAGGAGGUCACCCAUCCUAGUACUACUCUCGCCCAAGCACGCUUAACUUCGGAGUUCUGAUGGGAUCCGGUGCUUUAGUGCUGGUAUGAUCGCAUCCGACAUGUUUCCCCGUCUUCGUCCCUUAUGUUUGCCACUCCCAGGUCCGCUCCAAAGACCAUUCUACAUUCUCACUACCAUUACAAUCGUUCCCUAACAAUGGAUAAUGUCCUAUACUACUUACUCUCCCGCUCAAUCACGGAGAUGAGUUUUCCACGGCUUCCACCCCUCCCUCCAUACCGCAGCAACACGAGUUUUUUCAAUCCCUUUCAAAACGCGCUCUUCGCGCCACAAAGCCGCCCCAAGACGCGCGAGGAAUGAGCAUCGAGCUUAAAGAUAUCGCAAACGUCAAAAAUAAUAUAACGGGAUUAAUAUAUAUCGCGCACGUGCGAUAUGUUUGUCACAAGGCGCAAAAAAUAAUUAAAAAGGGAAUGCAACACGAGGACUUCCCAGGAGGUCACCCAUCCUACUACUACUCUCGCCCAAGCACGCUUAACUUCAGAGUUCUGAUGGGAUCCGGUGCUUUAGUGCUGGUAUGAUCGCAUCCGACAUCUUUCCCCGUCUUCGUCCCUUAUGCUUGCCACUCCCAGCUUCGCUCCAAAGACGAUUCUACAUUCUCACUACCAUUACAACCGUUCCCUAACAAUGGAUAAUGUCCUAUACUACUUACUCUCCCGCUCAAUCACGGAGACGAAUUUUCCACUGUUUCCACCCCUCCAUCCAUACCGCGGCAACACGAGUUUUUUCCACCCCUUUCAGAACGCGCUCUUCGCGCCACAAAGCCGCCCCAAGACGCGCGAGCAAUGAGCAUCGAGCUUAAACAUAUCGCAAACGUCAAAAAUAAUAUAACGGGAUUAAUAUAUAUCGCGCACGUGCGAUAUGUUUGUCACAAGGCGCAAAAAAUAAUUAAAAAGGGAAUGCAACACGAGGACUUCACAGGAGGUCACCCAUCCUAGUACUACUCUCGCCCAAGCACGCUUAGCUUCGGAGUUCUGAUGGGAUCUGGUGCUUUAGUGAUGGUAUGAUCGCAUCCGACAUGUUUCCCCGUCUUCGUCCCUUAUGCUUGCCACUCCCAGGUCCGCUCCAAAGACGAUUCUACAUUCUCACUACCAUUACAACCGUUCCCUAACAAUGGAUAAUGUCCUAUACUACUUACUCUCCCGCUCAAUCACGGAUACGAGUUUUCCACGGCUUCCACCCCUCCCUCCAUACCGCAGCAACACGAGUUUUUUCCACCCCUCUCAGGACGCGCUCUUCGCGCCACAAAGCCGCCCCAAGACGCACGAGCAAUGAGCAUCGAGCUUAAACAUAUCGCAAACGUCAAAAAUAAUAUAACGGGAUUAAUAUAUAUCGCGCAGGUGCGAUAUGUUUGUCACCAGGCGCAAAAAAUAAUUGAAAAGGGAAUGCAACACGAGGACUUCCUAGGAGGUCACCCAUCCUAGUACUACUCUCGCCCAAGCACGCUUAACUUCGGAGUUCUGAUGGGAUCCGGUGCUUUAGUGCUGGUAUGAUCGCAUCCGACAUGUUUCCCCGUCUUCGUCCCUUAUACUUGCCACUCCCAGGUCCGCUCCAAAGACGAUUCUACAUUCUCACUACCAUUACAACCGUUCCCUAACAAUGGAUAAUGUCCUAUACUACUUACUCUCCCGCUCAAUCACGGAGACGAAUUUUCCACGGUUUCCACCCCUCCAUCCAUACCGCGGCAACACGAGUUUUUUCCACCCCUUUCAGAACGCGCUCUUCGCGCCACAAAGCCGCCCCAAGACGCGCGAGCAAUGAGCAUCGAGCUUAAACAUAUCGCAAACGUCAAAUAUAAUAUAACGGGAUUAAUAUAUAUCACGCACGUGCGAUAUGUUUGUCACAAGGCGCAAAAAAUAAUUAAAAAGGGAAUGCAACACGAGGAUUCCCAGGAGGUCACCCAUCCUAGUACUACUCUCGCCCAAGCACACUUAAGUUCGGAGUUCUGAUGAGAUCCGGUGCUUUAGUGCUGGUAUGAUCGCAUCCGACAUGUUUCCCCGUCUUCGUCCCUUAUGCUUGCCCCUCCCAGGUCUGCUCCAAAGACGAUUCUACAUUCUCACUACCAUUACAACCGUUCCCUAACAAUGGAUAAUGUCCUAUACUACUUACUCUCCCACUCAAUCACGGAGACGAGUUUUCCAUGGCUUCCACCCCUCCCUCCAUACCGCAGCAACACGAGUUUUUUCCACCCCUUUCAGAACGCGCUCUUCGCGCCACAAAGCCGCCCCAAGACGCGCGAGCAAUGAGCAUCAAGCUUAAACAUAUCGCAAACGUCAAAAAUAAUAUAACAGGAUUAAUAUAUAUCACGCACGUGCGAUAUGUUUGUCACAAGGUGCAAAAAAUAAUUAAAAGUGGAAUGCAACACGAGGACUUCCCAGGAGGUCACCCAUCCUAGUACUACUCUCGCCCAAGCACGCUUAACUUCGGAGUUCUGAUGCGAUCCGGUGCUUUAUUGGUGGUAUGAUCGCAUCCGACAUGUUUCCCCGUCUUCGUCCCUUAUGCUUGGCACUCCCAGGUCCGCUCCAAAGACCAUUCUACAUUCUCACUACCAUUACAAUCGUUCCCUAACAAUGGAUAAUGUCCUAUACUACUUACUCUCCCGCUCAAUCACGGAGAUGAGUUUUCCACGGCUUCCACCCCUCCCUCCAUACCGCAGCAACACGAGUUUUUUCAACCCCUUUCAAAACGUGCUCUUCGCGCCACAAAGCCGCCCCAAAACGCGCGAGAAAUGAGCAUCGAGCUUAAAGAUAUCGCAAACGUCAAAAAUAAUAUAACGGGAUUAAUAUAUAUCGCGCACGUGCGAUAUGUUUGUCACAAGGCGCAAAAAAUAAUUAAAAAGGGAAUGCAACACGAGGACUUCCCAGGAGGUCACCCAUCCUAGUACUACUCUCGCCCAAGCACGCUUAACUUCGGAGUUUUGAUGGGAUCCGGUGCUUUAGUGCUCGUAUGAUCGCAUCUGAUAUGUUUCCCCGUCUUCGUCCCUUAUGCUUGCCACUCCCAGGUCCGCUCCAAAGACGAUUCUACAUUCUCACUACCAUUACAACCGUUCCCUAACAAUGGAUAAUGUCCUAUACUACUUACUCUCCCGCUCAAUCACGGAGACGAGUUUUCCACGGCUUCCACCCCUCCCUCCAUACCGCAGCAACACGAGUUUUUUCCACCCCUUUCAGGACGCGCUCUUCGCGCCACAAAGCCGCCCCAAGACGCGCGAGCAAUGAGCAUCGAGCUUAAAGAUAUCGCAAACGUCAAAAAUAAUAUAACGGGAUUAAUAUAUAUCGCGCACGUGCGAUAUGUUUGUCACAAGGCGCAAAAAAUAAUUAAAAAGGGAAUGCAACACGAGGACUUCCCAGGAGGUCACCCAUCCUAGUACUACUCUCGCCCAAGCACGCUUAACUUCGGAGUUUUGAUGGGAUCCGGUGCUUUAGUGCUCGUAUGAUCGCAUCUGAUAUGUUUCCCCGUCUUCGUCCCUUAUGCUUGCCACUCCCAGGUCCGCUCCAAAGACGAUUCUACAUUCUCACUACCAUUACAACCGUUCCCUAACAAUGGAUAAUGUCCUAUACUACUUACUCUCCCGCUCAAUCACGGAGACGAGUUUUCCACGGCUUCCACCCCUCCCUCCAUACCGCAGCAACACGAGUUUUUUCCACCCCUUUCAGGACGCGCUCUUCGCGCCACAAAGCCGCCCCAAGACGCGCGAGCAAUGAGCAUCGAGCUUAAACAUAUCGCAAACGUCAAAAAUAAUAUAACGGGAUUAAUAUAUAUCGCGCACGUGCGAUAUGUUUGUCACAAGGCGCAAAAAAUAAUUAAAAAGGGAAUGCAACACGAGGACUUCCCAGGAGGUCACCCAUCCUAGUACUACUCUCGCCCAAGCACGCUUAACUUCAGAGUUCUGAUGGGAUCCGGUGCUUUAGUGCUGGUAUGAUCGCAUCUGACAUGUUUCCCCGUCUUCGUCCCUUAUGCUUGCCACUCCCAGGUCCGCUCCAAAGACGAUUCUACAUUCUCACUACCAUUACAACCGUUCCCUAACAAUGGAUAAUGUCCUAUACUACUUACUCUCACGCUCAAUCACGGAGACGAAUUUUCCACGGUUUCCACCCCUCCAUCCAUACCGCGGCAACACGAGUUUUUUCCACCCCUUUCAGAAUGCGCUCUUCGCGCCACAAAGCCGCCCCAAGACGCGCGAGCAAUGAGCAUCGAGCUUAAACAUAUCGCAAACGUCAAAAAUAAUAUAACGGGAUUAAUAUAUAUCACGCACGUGCGAUAUGUUUGUCACAAGGCGCAAAAAAUAAUUAAAAAGGGAAUGCAACACGAGGACUUCCCAGGAGGUCACCCAUCCUAGUACUACUCUCGCCCAAGCACGCUUAAGUUCGGAGUUCUGAUGAGAUCCGGUGCUUUAGUGCUGGUAUGAUCGCAUCCGACAUGUUUCCCCGUCUUCGUCCCUUAUGCUUGCCACUCCCAGGUCUGCUCCAAAGACGAUUCUACAUUCUCACUACCAUUACAACCGUUCCCUAACAAUGGAUAAUGUCCUAUACUACUUACUCUCCCACUCAACCACGGAGACGAGUUUUCCAUGGCUUCCACCCCUCCCUCCAUACCGCAGCAACACGAGUUUUUUCCACCCCUUUCUGAACGCGCUCUUCGCGCCACAAAGCCGCCCCAAGACGCGCGAGCAAUGAGCAUCGAGCUUAAAGAUAUCGCAAACGUCAAAAAUAAUAUAACGGGAUUAAUAUAUAUCGCGCACGUGCGAUAUGUUUGUCACAAGGCACAAAAAAUAAUUAAAAAGGAAAUGCAACACGAGGACUUCCCAGGAGGUCACCCAUCCUAGUACUACUCUCGCCCAAGCAUGCUUAACUUCGGAGUUCUGAUGGGAUCCGGUGCUUUAGUGCUGGUAUGAUCGCAUCAACAUGUCUCCCCGUCUUCGUCCCUUAUGCUUGCCACUCCCAGGUCCGCUCCAAAGACGAUUCUACAUUCUCACUACCAAUACAACCAUUCCCUAACAAUGGAUAAUGUUCUAUACUACUUACUCUCCCGCUCAAUCACGAAGACGAGUUUUCCACGGCUUCCACCCCUCCCUCCAUACCGCAGCAACACGAGUUUUUUCCACCCCUUUCAGGACGCGCUCUUCGCGCCACAAAGCCGCCCCAAGACGCGCGAGCAAUGAGCAUCGAGCAUAAACAUAUCGCAAACGUCAAAAAUAAUAUAACGGGAUUAAUAUAUAUCGCGCACGUGCGAUAUGUUUGUCACAAGGCGCAAAAAAUAAUUAAAAAGGGAAUGCAACACGAGGACUUCCCAGGAGGUCACCCAUCCUAGUACUACUCUCGCCCAAGCACGCUUAACUUCGGAGUUCUGAUGGGAUCCGGUGCUUUAGUGCUGGUAUGAUCGCAUCCGACAUGUUUCCCCGUCUUCGUCCCUUAUGCUUGCCACUCCCAGGUCCGCUCCAAAGACAAUUGUACAUUCUCACUACCAUUACAACCGUUCCCUAACAAUGGAUAAUGUCCUAUACUACUUACUCUCCCGCUCAAUCACGGAGACGAAUUUUCCACGGUUUCCACCCCUCCCUCCAUACCGCAGCAACAGGAGUUUUUUCCACCCCUUUCAGAAUGCGCUCUUCGCGCCACAAAGCCACCCAAGACGCGCGAGCAAUGCGCAUCGAGCUUAAACAUAUCGCAAACGUCAAAAAUAAUAUAACGGGAUUAAUAUAUAUCGCGCACGUGCGAUAUGUUUGUCACAAGGCGCAAAAAAUAAUUAAAAGGGGAAUGCAACACGAGGACUUCCCAGGAGGUCACCCAUCCUAGUACUACUCUCGCCCAAGCACGCUUAACUUCGAAGUUCUGAUGGGAUCCGAUGCUUUAGUGCUGGUAUGAUCGCAUCCGACAUGUUUCCCCGUCUUCGUCCCUUAUGCUUGCCACUCCCAGGUCCGCUCCAAAGACGAUUCUACAUUCUCACUACCAUUACAACCGUUCCCUAACAAUGGAUAAUGUCCUAUACUACUUACUCUCCCGCUCAAUCACGGAGACGAGUUUUCCACGGCUUCCACCCCUCCCUCCAUACCGCAGCAACACGAGUUUUUUCCACCCCUUUCAGAACGCGCUCUUCACGCCACAAAGCCGCCCCAAGACGCGCGAGCAAUGAGCAUCGAGCUUAAACAUAUCGCAAACGUCAAAAAUAAUAUAACGGGAUUAAUAUAUAUCGCGCACGUGCGAUAUGUUUGUCACAAGGCGCAAAAAAUAAUUAAAAAGGGAAUGCAACACAAGGACUUCCCAGGAGGUCACCUGAGGGAGUCCUGGACUAGGGGGUGUCCGGACAGCCGGACUAUCGUCGUCCGCCGGACUCCAAGACUACGAAGAUACAAGAUUGAAGACUCUGUCCCGCGUCCCGAUGGGACUUUCCUUGGCGUGGAAGGCAAGCUUGGCGAUACGGAUAUGUAGAUCUCCUACCAUUGUAACCGACUCUGUGUAACCCUAGCCUCCUCCGGUGUCUAUAUAAACCGGAGGGCUUUAGUCCGUAGGACACAACAUACAUUACAACAAUCAUACCAUAGGCUAGCUUCUAGGGUUUAGCCUCCUUGAUCUCGUGGUAGAUCCACUCUUGUACUACCCAUAUCAUCAAUAUUAAUCAAGCAGGACGUAGGGUGUUACCUCCAUCGAGAGGGCCCGAACCUGGGUAAAACAUCAUGUCCCUCGUCUCCUGUUACCAUCCGCCUAGACGCACAGUUCGGGACCCCCUACCCGAGAUCCGCCGGUUUUGACACCGACAUUGGUGCUUUCAUUGAGAGUUCCUCUGUGCUGUCACCGAUAGGCCCGAUGGCAUCUUCAACCAACAACGCUGUCCAGGGUGAGACUUUUCUCCCCGGACAGUUCUUCAUAUUCGGCGGCUUCGCACUGCGGGCUAAUUCACUUGGCCAUCUGGAGCAGAUCGAAAGCUACGCCCCUGGCCAUCAGGUCAGAUUCGGAAGCCUAAACUUCACGGCCGUUGUCCGCGGAGACUUGAUCUUCGACGGACUCGAGCCACAGCCAAGCGCGCCGCACUGUGACGACGGGCAUGAUCUAGCUCUGCCACUGAACAGUGCCUUGGUGGCCGCACACAAAUCCGCUUCGGCCAUUAGUCCGGAGCCGAUCGCCCAGAUCAAGGGCCGGUGGAUAGACGCCGCCCCGGGGGCUUCAACAUCCACGGCGAUGGAGCCGAACACUAAUCUUGUCCCCUGCGAAACUCGUGAUUCCGAGGCGCCGGACUCCUUGCCGGACUCCGAACCUCCCGCGCCCCUACCAAUCGAUUCGGAUUGGGCGCCGGUUAUGGAAUUCACCGCCGCGGACAUCUUCCAAUACUCGCCUUUUGGCGAUAUCCUGAAUUCACUAAAGCAUCUCUCGUUAUCAGGAGAGUCCUGGCCGGGCUAUGGCCAGGAUGGUUGGGGUACGGAUGACGAAGAAAUUCAGAGCCCACCCACCACCCACUUUGUAGCCACUAUCGACGAUCUAACCGACAUGCUAGACUACGACUCUGACGACAUCGACGCCAUGGAUGACGAUGCCGGAGACGAACAGGAACCAACGCCCAUUGGGCACUGGAAAACCACCUCGUCAUAUGACAUAUACAUGGUGGAUACCCCAAAAGAUGGGGACGGCGAAGAAACAGCGGAGGCAGACUCUUUAAAGAAGCAGCCCAAACGCCAGCGUCAGCGGCGCUGCUCUAAAUCCCGCCACAGCAAGACUGGAGAUUCCGGCACCGGAGAUAAUAAUACCCCAGAGAGUGCCGAAGACAAUCCCCUCCAGCAAGACUCAGCGCAGGAGGAUGCAGAAGCAAGCCCUCACGAGAGGGCGGCAGACGAAGAGGUUGAGGAUCAUAACUAUAUGCCUCCCUCCGAAGACGAAGCAAGCCUCAACGAUGACGAAUUCGUCGUACCUGAGGAUCCCGUCGAACAAGAGCGUUUCAAGCGCAGGCUUAUCGCCACAGCAAACAGCCUAAAGAAAAAGCAGCAACAGCUUCAAGCUGAUCAGGACCUGCUAGCCGAUCGAUGGACCGAGGUCCUCGCGGCCGAAGACUAUAAACUCGAACGCCCCUCCAAAAGCUACCCAAGACGAAAGCUGCUCCCCCGAUUAGAGGAGGAAGCAUACAUACCUCCAUCACCAGCGCACGAUAUGGCUGACCGACCACCCCGUGGUCGUGACAGAGAGGCAUCUAGGGCCCCAGCCAAGACCGUACCCCGGCAUCGCUCCAAAAGUACGAAGCCAAGAGGGAACGCGCCGGACUUGCGAGAUAUAUUGGAGGACAAAGCAAGGCAAUCCAGAUCCAUCUACGGAUCACGUGGGCGCCCCACGACCCAUGACGAAUACUGUCGCGCCGGAUACAAUAACCCCGGUCGGGCCGAGCACAGCAGACAGCGCUCUCUCGAGCUGCAUCGCGAUAUUGCUCAAUACAGAGGCGCCGCACACCCACUAUGCUUCACUGACGAAGUAAUGGAUCAUCAAAUCCUUGAAGGAUUUAAACCCGUAAACAUUGAAUCCUACGAUGGCAUAACAGACCCCGCGGUUUGGAUAGAAGAUUAUCUUCUCCACAUCCAUAUGGCCCGCGGUGACGAUCUCCACGCCAUCAAGUACCUCCCACUCAAGCUUAAAGGACCAGCUCGGCAUUGGCUUAACAGCCUGCCCGCAGAGUCAAUUGGGUGCUGGGAAGACCUGGAGGCCGCAUUCCUUGAUAACUUCCAAGGCACGUAUGUGCGACCACCAGACGCCGAUGACCUAAGCCACAUCAUUCAGCAGCCAGACGAAUCGGCCAGACAAUUCUGGACACGGUUCUUGACGAAGAAAAAUCAAAUCGUUGAUUGUCUGGAUGCAGAGGCCCUUGCAGCCUUCAAACAUAACAUCCGGGACGAAUGGCUAGCCCGGCACCUGGGGCAGGAAAAGCCGAAAUCCAUCAGCCCUCACAUCGUUAAUGACCCGCUUUUGCGCGGGAGAGGACAGCUGGCUAGCUCGCAGCAACAAUCUCCGUAAAAAUACUGGCAGUCCGGAUACUAAGGAUAACAACGGUAGGUCACGUCGAAACAAAAACAAACGCCGCAUUAACGGCGACGAUAAGGAGGAUACGGCAGUCAACGCCGGAUUCCGAGGCUCUAAACCCGGUCAGCGGAAGAAGCCAUUCAAAAGAACCACUCCCGGUCCGUCCAAUCUGGACCGAAUACUCGACCGCUUAUGCCAGAUACAUGGCACCUCUGAAAAGCCAGCUAACCACACUAAUAGAGAUUGCUGGGUGUUCAAGCAGGCCGGCAAGUUAAUUGCCGAAAACAAUGACAAGGGGCUAAACAGCGACGACAAGGAAGAGACCCGACCGCCGAACAAUAGAGGACAGAAGGGUUUCCCCCCACAAGUGCGGACGGUGAAUAUGAUAUACGCGACCCAUAUACCCAAGAGGGAGAGGAAACGCGCACUAAGGGACGUCUAUGCGAUGGAGCCAGUCGCCCCGAAGUUCAAUCCAUGGUCCUCUUGUCCGAUCACUUUCGAUCGAAGAGACCAUCCGACCAGCAUACGCCAUGGCGGAUUCGCCGCAUUGGUUUUAGACCCAAUCGUCGAUGGAUUUCACCUCACGAGAGUCCUGAUGGACGGCGGCAGUAGCCUGAACCUGCUUUAUCAGGAUACAGUGCGCAAAAUGGGCAUAGACCCCUCAAGGAUUAAACCUACAAAGACAACCUUUAAAGGUGUCAUACCAGGAGUGGAAGCCAACUGUACAGGCUCAGUCACACUGGAAGUGGUCUUCGGAUCCCCAGAUAAUUUCCGGGCGAAGAGUUAAUCUUCGACAUAGUCCCGUUUCGCAGCGGCUAUCACGCUCUGCUCGAACGAACCGCGUUUGCAAAAUUCAACGCGGUGCCGCAUUAUGCAUACCUAAAGCUUAAGAUGCCAGGCCCUCGUGGAGUCAUCACGGUCAAUGGGAAUACGGAACGCUCCCUCCGGACGGAGGAACAUACAGCGGCUCUCGCGGCAGAAGUACAGAGUAGCCUCUUAAGGCAAUUCUCCAGUCCGGCCGUUAAACAGCCGGAUACAGCAAAACGCGCCCGAAGCAAUACCAACCAAGACCACCUGGCGCGAUCAGAGCAUGCGUAGCAAUGCGGCCCCAACCCUUGCCCGCGCAUGAUCGCAAUAAUAACACUCCGCGUACAUCAUUACGCUUUGGAGAUACCAUGGGCACAGGGGAGGGGGCACGAUCGCAACGGACCCAGAGUGCGGUUCGACCACACCGGGGGCUCGCAAGUGUGCCCCCUUUUUUUAUAUAUUUUUUAUUUUUCUUUUAUGUACACAGGACUCCGUUAACCAGAAGCCCUGUCCGGCGGCGAACCUGCCGAACUCAUGAUGCAACAGUCAGGGACUAAAGAAGGCUGCGACGAACACUCAGUUGGUCUCAAUUACGAGCAUUAAAUUCGAUUAUAUACACAAAGUCCGCAGCUCACCCCUGGAGGGGGACAUGUUUACUUAGUCCAAAUCCCUUGCUUACCGCACUAUUUGUAUCAGUCCGCUCUACUAGCAGACUUUCUUUCAUAAAUAAUGCAGCACCUUUUUGAUUGCAAUUGCAUUACCUUUUAUAUAUAUAUGCUCAUUAUAUGACAUCUUGCGCCCGUAUAUUUUGGUACGGCAUAAUACGCCAGGGGCUUGUGUUCCCCACUCUAUGGUGUGAUAAGUCUGAACACUUUCACAAGUGCGGCACCCCGAACUUAUAGCAUUAUAUGAAUCAGCUCCGAAUCAUGUCUUGGGUCAAUAGUUGGGUUUGCCCGGCUCCCACGUUUUGGUGCCUUACGUUCCGUUCUGUCGGCUAAGGUGGCACUGGGAGAACCACUGCGAUUGCGCCCCGGUUGAGCCGGGCGAGCGCCUCAGUGGAGAAAGCUAAAACUGACUGGCAUGAUAAGGCGAGAGACUGGUCGCUGUUCGAGAGGUUUUUUCGGGUCCUUAAAGACUCACGCCGCUUCGAGCGAAGUUCCGAACAAUGUCCGACGAAGGAGUGGAUAGCGCCCCGGAUUCGGUCUUCCGAAUACCAGGGGCUUCGCCGAAAUUUAAAAUUAUAGAAUUCUAUGGCUAAGUGAGAGUGUUCAAGCAUUAUAAGUCCGGUUGCCUUGUUCGUUGUGUUGAGCGCCUCCCUCGAUGGACCCAACAAUGGGAACAAGAGUGCUCAAGUUUAUCCCGAACACCCCAGCACUCGUGGCUUGGGGGCUGAAGCCAACGACUUGCCAUCUCUCAGAUUUUAUAAACGGCCGCACAGAAGGUAAUAUUUUAAAUUAAAAAAGCGUUGCUCAAAGCGCACAUGAACAAAGUUUCAGCGCACAGGAUAAUACAUAGCAAAUUCACUCAAAGAUUACAUUUCUGGGGCACUCAUCCGCAAUAUCGCGGGCUCCCUUCAGGACAGAUUUAUAAUACAUCUCGGGCGUGCGAUACUCCUUGCCCGGUGGCGGUGGGUCCGUGAGAAGCUUCUCCGCAUCCAACCUGCCCCAUUGCACAUUUGUGCGGGCGAGGGCCCGGCGAGCGCCUUCAAUACAGGCGGAGCGCUUGAUGACAUCCACCCAGGGGCAUGCAUCCACCAGCCGCCGCACGAGGCCAAAGUAGCUCCCGGGCAGGGCUUGUCCAGGCCACAGCCGGACUAUAAGGCCCUUCAUGGCCUCUUCAGCUACCUUGUGGAGUUCGACCAGCUGCUUCAGCUGGUCGCUUGGGGGCACCGGGUGUCCGGCCUCAGCAUACUGAGACCAGAAGACUUUUUCCGUCGAGCUCCCCUCCUCGCCACGAUAGAAUGCGGCGGCAUCAGACACACUACGCGGCAGAUCUGCAAACGCCCCUGGAGAGCUCCGAAUGCGGGUAAGUGUCAGGUAUUUUACAUUAACAUGCUUGCUUUGCAUGAAAAAUGCCUUACCCGCCACUAUUUUCUUUACAUCUUCAACCUCCUGAAGGGCCUUAUGGGCUUCGGCCUUGGCGGACUUGGCACUUUCGAGAGCCGAGGCAAGCUCGGACUCUCGAGUCUUGGAGUCACGCUCCAACCUCUCAUGUUUCUCCAUGAGAGCCUGGAGCUCUUGCCGUACUUCCGCCACCCGUGCCUCCUGCUUUUCUCUCUCUGACCGUUCCGCAGCCGCACUGCAUUUGGCCGCGGACACAACCUCCUUCAGGGCUGCCACCUCGUUAGUGGCCCCUGCAAUACACACAUUAUCCUUGUUAAUUUUAUUGCAACCAAAAUCCUUUUCUGUAAGGUAACCAUUCAAAGCGGUGUGACUCACCUUCUUUGUCCUCGAGCUGCUUCUUGGCAUGGCCGAGCUCUUGCUCGGACCGCUCGAGAUCCUUUUUCAGCACAUCGACCUCCGCCGUUAGUGUGGCAGAGGUCAGCAGCGCAGCCUGCAAACCCAUAUUGACAUAUGUUAAGCAACCCUGCGCAUAUCUUGUUAGAUCCUCAGUCCGGCUUUUCUUUCCGAACACCGAACUGAGCAUCAGGGGCUACUGUCUAUGCGGUAUUACAUUACAUAAUUUUAACUUCUUACCUCAAAGCCUGUUAGAAGGCUGCUGCAGGCUUCGGUCAGCCCGCUUUUGGCGAGCUGAACCUUUUGAAUCACCGCACUCAUGAUAGUGUGGUGUUCUUCCUCGAUGGAAGCGCCUUUAAGCGCCUCCAACAAGUUAUCCGGCGCCUCCAACAAGUUAUCCGGCGCCUCCGGUUGGACGGAGGCCGCCGGUGUCACGGUCUUGCCCUUCUUUCAAAGGGGCCGCUUGCCGGACUCUAGAACCACUGCGGGUUCCGAUGUAGAGUCCGGCACAAAGUCCGGGAGGCUGCCUGAUGGCGCCUCCAGAGCCUCCUCCUGAUGGGUCCCUCUCUGGGAUCCCACCUCGGCGUCCUCGUCGGCACGUGGGGUGGAGGCCGUCGGAAGUGAAUCCACAUCCGACGGGGCCAACAACCCGCUCGAUGAGUCAGGGAGAUCGUCAUCGGCCGGACUACGGACAAAAUGCGGCGUUAGAAGGACACUACGCGACAUAAAAGAUUUUGCAUAUCAAGGAUCCGGAUACUUACGAUCUCGCCGGACGCCUGGCCCUUGGAGGCCAUUCAUCCUCGCCAACGGUGGUGUUGGCGAAACUGUCCGGGGGGAUAGUUCUCCCCCUCUUGGACCCUUCGGCCUCCCCUAUUGGGGAAGCCUUCCUCUUCUUCUCUCCCUCUUCUGGGAGAGAAACCUCCUCGUCUUCGGGGGAGGAGUCCGCCUCGUCGUCGGACACCUGAUUGCAGGAACUCUUUCGAGUCCCCGCGGCCACCUUCUUGGCCUUCUUCUCCGGCACCACAUGCGGUGCCGGAACCAGCAGCCCUGCUAAACGGGCAUCCACUGGGUCUUCUGGCAUGGGAGCCGGGCUGAUAAGCUGCUUGGCCUUCUCCAUCCAUUCCUGUCAAAGGAAAGGAAAGAAUGAAACCCUCUUACAAUCAAUUCGAUUACUGCAAAGUGUCCCGUAAUGGGGUUGAAUCACUUACCUCGUCAGUUGGAUACUGCGAGCUGAAUCCGCGAUCUUCCGUGGUGGAUGCGGGGGCUUCGGCGCCCUUAAACAGCACCCUCCAGGCGCCUUCGUAUGUCGUAUCGAAGAGCCCGCUCAGCGCCUGGUGCUGUUCCGGAUUGAACUCCCACAGAUUGAAUGCCCGUUCUUGGCAUGGGAGAAUCCGGCGGAUGAGCAUGACUUGGACCACGUCGACGAGCCUGAGCUUAUUGCUCACCAGCUUCUGGAUGCAGGUUCGGAGUCCAGUCACCUCCUUCGAAUCACCCCACAGCAAGCCCUUCUCUUUCCAGGAGGUGAGCUGCGUGGGGACGCCAGAUCUAAACUCGGGGGCCGCCGCCCAUGUGGGCUUGCGCGGCUCGGUGAUGUAGAACCACCCCGAUUGCCACCCCUUGACGGAGUCCACGAAGGCCCCUUCGAGCCAAAGGACGUUGGGUAAUUUACCCAACAUGGCACCUCCGCAUUCCGCUUGCGUAUCCAGCACAACCUUCGGCUUGACGUUGAAGGUCUUGAGCCACAGGCCGAAGUGGGGCCGGAUGCAGAGGAAGGCCUCGCACACGACGAUGAACGUCGAGAUGUUGAGGAUGAAGUUCGACGCCAGAUCGUGGAAAUCCAGGCCGUAAUAGAACAUGAUCCCCUGGACGAAUGGAUGGAGCGGAAAGCCCAGUCCGCGGAGGAAGUGGGGAAGGAAGACGACCCUCUCGUGAGGCCCAGGGGUAGGGACGAGCUGCCCCUCGUUGGGCAGCCGAUGCGCGAUAUCGCCGGAAAGAUAUCCGGCGCUGCGCAGUCUGGUGAUGUGCUCCUCCUUAACGGUGGAGGCCAACCAUUUGCCUCCCGCUCCGGACAUAUUCGGAGAAGGUCGAGGCGAGAUGCGCGAGCUUGGGCAUUGGAGCUUGAGUACACGGAGGUGGAUAAGCCAAGGAGGAAGAAGGCGUAGGUGAGAAGGUAAAUCCUUAUCCCUUAUAUGUAGGUGGACGAAAACUGUGUGUCCCGCUGGCCUGAUAAAACUCGCUUAUCCCCCAAGCGCCACCAUCAAUGGCGCGGUUGGGUUACCCACGUCCGUAUUGAUGAGAAUCCCAGAAUAAGGGGAACACGAUCUCUGCUUCGACAAGACGUGCCAAGGAAACCGCUUCGCUAAACGUGCUGAGGUGGUAUAGUAAAAAACGAUUCAAACAAAGGCUUGGUAGCGGUGUGAUGUCACGCCGCAUAAUACGUCAGCAGAUUGGACUAGUGUACAUUUUAUUCUCUCUAUGGUAGAAUGUGGAAUUUAUUUUGCAGAGCCGGACACUAUCCUGGUGUUCAUGAUCUUCUCUGGAUUAUUCAAGGGAGGAACCCGCCUUGCAAUGCCGAACAUUAUGCGCGCCGGACUUAUCGUCAUUGAAGCCUGGUUCAGGGGCUACUGAGGGAGUCCUGGACUAGGUGGUGUCCGGACAGCCGGACUAUCAUCGUCCGCCGGACUCCAAGACUACGAAGAUACAAGAUUGAAGACUCUGUCCCGUGUCCGGAUGGGACUUUCCUUGGCGUGGAAGGCAAGCUUGGCGAUACGGAUAUGUAGAUCUCCUACCAUUGUAACCGACUCUGUGUAACCCUAGCCUCCUCCGGUGUCUAUAUAAACCGGAGGGCUUUAGUCCGUAGGACACAACAUACAUUACAACAAUCAUACCAUAGGCUAGCUUCUAGGGUUUAGCCUCCUUGAUCUCGUGGUAGAUCCACUCUUGUACUACCCAUAUCAUCAAUAUUAAUCAAGCAGGACGUAGGGUUUUACCUCCAUCGAGAGGGCCCGAACCUGGGUAAAACAUCGUGUCCCUCGUCUCCUGUUACCAUCCGCCUAGACGCACAGUUCGGGACCCCCUACCCGAGAUCCGCCGGUUUUGACACCGACAUCACCCAUCCUAGUACUACUCUCGCCCAAGCACGCUUAACUUUGGAGUUUUGAUGGGAUCCGGUGCUUUAGUGCUGGUAUGAUCGCAUCCGACAUGUUUCCCCGUCUUCGUCCCUUAUGCUUGCCACUCCCAGGUCCGCUCCAAAGACGAUUCUACAUUCUCACUACCAUUACAACCGUUCCCUAACAAUGGAUUAUGUCCUAUACUACUUACUCUCCCGCUCAAUCACGGAGACGAGUUUUCCACGGUUUCCACCCCUCCCUCCAUACCGCAGCAACAUGAGUUUUUUCCACCCCUUUCAGAACGCGCUCUUCGCGCCACAAAGCCGCCCCAAGACGCGCGCGCAAUGAGCAUCGAGCUUAAACAUAUCGCAAAUGUCAAAAAUAAUAUAACAGGAUUAAUAUAUAUCGCGCACGUGCGAUAUGUUUGUCACAAGGCGCAAAAAAUAAUUAAAAAGGGAAUGCAACACGAGGACUUCCCAGGAGGUCACCCAUCCUAGUACUACUCUCGCCCAAGCACGCUUAGCUUCGGAGUUCUGAUGGGAUCCGGUGCUUUAGUGCUGGUAUGAUCGCAUCCGACAUGUUUCCCCGUCUUCGUCCCUUAUGCUUGCCACUCCCAGGUCCGCUCCAAAGACGAUUCUACAUUCUCACUACCAUUACAACCGUUCCCUAACAAUGGAUAAUGUCCUAUACUACUUACUCUCCCGCUCAAUCACGGAGACGAGUUUUCCACGGCUUCCACCCCUCCCUCCAUACCGCAGCAACACGAGUUUUUUCCACCCCUUUCAGAACGCGCUCUUCGCGCCACAAAGCCGCCCCAAGACGCGCGAGCAAUGAGCAUCGAGCUUAAACAUAUCUCAAACGUCAAAAAUAAUAUAACGGGAUUAAUAUAUAUCGCACACGUGCGAUAUGUUUGUCACAAGGCGUAAAAAAUAAUUAAAAGGGAAUGCAACACGAGGACUUCCCAAGAGGUCACCCAUCCUAGUACUACUCUCGCCCAAGCACGCUUAACUUCGGAGUUCUGAUGGGAUCCGGUGCUUUAGUGCUGGUAUGAUCGCAUCCAACAUGUUUCCCCGUCUUCGUCCCUUAUGCUUGCCACUCCCAGAUCCGCUCCAAAGACGAUUCUACAUUCUCACUACCAUUACAACCAUUCCCUAACAAUGGAUAAUGUCCUAUACUACUUACUCUCCCGCUCAAUCACGGAGACGAGUUUUCCACGGCUUCCACCCCUCCCUCCAUACUGCAGCAACACGGGUUUUUUCCACCCCUUUCAGAACGCGCUCUUCGCGCCACAAAGCCGCCCCAAGACGCGCGAGCAAUGAGCAUCGAGCUUAAACAUAUCGCAAACGUCAAACAUAAUAUACCGGGAUUAAUAUAUAUCGCGCACGUGCGACAUGUUUGUCACAAGGCGCAAAAAAUAAUUAUAAAAGGAAUGCAACACGAGGACUUCCCAGGAGGUCACCCAUCCUAGUACUACUCUCGCCCAAGCACGCUUAACUUCGGAGUUCUGAUGGGAUCCGGUGCUUUAGUGCUGGUAUGAUCGCAUCCGACAUGUUUCCCCGUCUUCGUCCCUUAUGCUUGCCACUCCCAGGUCCGCUCCAAAGACGAUUCUACAUUCUCACUACCAUUACAACCGUUCCCUAACAAUGGAUAAUGUCCUAUACUACUUACUCUCCCGCUCAAUCAUGGAGACGAGUUUUCCACGGUUUCCACCCCUCCCUCCAUACCGCAGCAACACGAUUUUUUUCCAACCCUUUCUGUCAGGACCCCGAUCCUAAGUCACACCGAUCUAGCAUGUAACGCAUCAUAUCACUUUGCGGCCUCACGCACGGUAUUCCCACGGGUGCCACCUUACCUGGCCCGGGACCGUUUGCGCCUUUUGGCUCACGUAUAUGAUAGUGUCGCUACCAUCCAUAUGACAAAGAACCCGGGCUGACAUGGCUAGUCGUGAACCCAAAAUGGCACUAACUUACAGGGACAGGCAUCCAUGAUCCAGCCUCGAACGUGUCGGUCAUCAGCGAGUGAAUCCAGGCUGUAGCACUGGGCUAGCAGGACUCCGGUGAACCGGGCUGUAGCGGGCUAACAGGACUCCAGUAUUCAUCGCGUGACAUUUCCCCGAAGGGACAGACACAGGAACGAAGAAGGACACAUGCCGGCCAGCCUAAGUGUUCCGGAGCAGUAGCAAGCUACCAUGGCUCAGUGGAAACACUAGGAGACAUUUCCCGGUAAGAGAGGCUACUAAGGAUAAACAACUAGAUAGCCAGAUCCCACACAUACCAAGCAUUUCAAUAACAUACACACAAUAUGCUCGAUAUGUGCAAAUACAACAUGGCAUCACAACAUGACUCUACGACUCAAGUAUUUAUUCAUUAGGCUCCGAGGAGUGGGAAAUUACAAACAUGGGUCUCAUGACCCAACAAUCAGAGCAUACAAGUCAAAGCACAUGCGGAAGCUUAACAUGUCUGAGUACAGACAACUAUAAAUGAAAAAGGCUGAGAAGCCUGACUAUCUACCAGAUCCUACCGAGGGCACAAGAUCGUAGCUGAGGUAACAAGCUAAACGUCGAAGCCCACGUGGAACUACUAGCGAGACUGACGUCUCUCUGCAAAACAUAAAAUAGGCAAACGUGAGUACAAAUGUACCCAGCAAGACUUACAUCAGAACUAGCUACAUAUGCACCAUUAUCAACAAGGGGGAUGGUGGAGUUUAACUGCAGCAAGCCAGCUUUGACUCGGUGGCUAACCUAAACUACGACUGCAAGUAACUCUUUUGAGGUGGCGCACACGAGUCCACAUGUUCACCAACCAAUACACCACUAUGGAACCGCUUGUCGUGGUUCUAAGCCUGACAGUAGAGUGGGGGUAGGUAUGGAGAGGCAAGGUCCUAGCUAUGGAGAGGUUGUAAGCACAAAGGAUGUACGAGUUCAGGCCCUUCUCGGAAGAAGUAACAACCCUACGUCUCGGAGCCCGGAGGCGGUCGAGUGGAUUAUGAAUGUAUGAAUUACAAGGUGCCGAACCCCUCUGCCUGUGGAGGGGGGUGGCUUAUAUAGAGUAUGCCAGGACCCCAGCCAGCCCACGCAGGAGAGGGUUUAAGGUGAGUUAAGUCUGGGGCGUUACUGGUAACGCCCCACAUAAAGUGCCUUUACUAUCAUAAAGUCUACUUGAUUACAGGCCGUUGCAGUGCAGAGUGCCUCUUGACCUCCUGGUGGUCGAGUGAGUCUUCGUGGUCGAGUCCUUCAGGCUAGUCGAGUGAAUCCUCUUUGGUCGACUGGAAGGCGACCUCUUCUAAGGAUGUCCUGGGGUAAGUUACUUGGAUCAGGUCCAUGACCCUACCCUAGGUACAUAACCCCAUCAUUAGCCCCCGAAUGGAUUGAGGCUUUGAGUGAAGAAGGAGUUGAUGUCGUUUCCGAUUAACCUUUGCGUUCUGGUUGUGCGCUGUUCUGUACUAAAGAAUCUCUUCGUCGACAGGAAACAACUUGACUUCAGUCGACUUGAUCCAUUCUGCUUUUGCGUCGAGUGAUCUUUCAAGCUACGACGAUCUCCGAGCGACGGAUCGCCGGAAACACCGCGCCUGACAGACCGAUUUGUUGCUCGCGGAUUCUGCGGGAUGCGAAAUUUGGGGGCGCGCGCGAAGCGGGGCGGACCGCGGCGUUUGGAUGGGACGGGGCAUGGACGCCUCGAUCUCCGCGCCGCCUUUUUCGCCACGUAUCCCGUCUGCAUAACUGUUCUAGAUAUGAUUAGAUCGACCGGGCCCACCUGUCAUCCACUCGGAAGUGACCUUAUAAAUGUGCCCGGCGGGGAUUUCUGUGCUGCGCCUUAGCAUUCCCCCUUUCUCUCUGCUUCCUUCCUCCCUGCUCAGCGUGCUCGCUCUCGCCCCCGCACCACUUCCCUUCGCGCAUCUCGCCGGCGACCAUGGCCAAGGAGAAGACGGCGGCGCUGGAGCGUGCAAAGAAGGCAUCGGCAUCGGAGAAGGCGAAGGGGAGAUCCACCAGCCGCGGAGGGUCCUCGUCCAGAUCCCGCCUGCCGAAGGGCUGGGUCCAAGGAGACUGGAUCCAGUCGACCAUCACGGAGAAUGACCUCCUCGACAUGGCCAACGAGGGCUUGAUCCCCCACGGAGCUGCGAGGCUUCCGGGGAAGGAGUGGCAGCCCCAGCCAGAAGAGGGUGAGUGUGUGCUUUUGGCCACUCAUGUUGAUCGGGGGUUUUCCUUGCCGCCUAGUGUUUUCUUUCAUGGCUUUUUGAACUUCUUCGGAGCGCAGCUCCACCACUUUACCCCAAACUCCAUUGCCUAUCUUGCUGCGUUCGUGUCCAUGUGUGAGGGUUUCUUGGGCUGUCGACCGCACUGGGGUUUGUUCAAACAUAUAUUCACGUGUCGAUCUCAGACCGUGAAGAAGGCGAGCCCAGGUGAUGAGAGAACCCGAGUCGUCCAAAUGUGCGGGGGCCUGGGGAUUCAGGAGAGGAAUAAGAGCACCUUCCCGCCCAUGACCUUUCCCGAGUCCGUUAGAGGCUGGCAGUCGACUUGGUUCUACUGCCAGGUCCAGUCGACGCCAGGGCAGUCGAGUGGACUCCCUCCGUUCACCAUGGACCGAGUGAGCAAGCCUUCCCCUCUGAAGCUGAUUCCGGAGGAGAGAGCCGACGUGAAGAUGUUGAUGGAGCGCGUGGUGCAGUUGGUUCGGGAGGGAGUGACAGGCAUGGACCUCCUGGAGGUUUUCCUCAGGCGUCGCAUCCAGCCUCUCCAAUUCCGGAGCCACUGCAUGUGGUUGUACUGUGGGACCGAAGACGAGACUAGAGUCCAUCCAGAAGCAGUCGAUGAUGUCACUCUGGAAAGAUGGAUGGCAGCCGUCACCGGAAACAAGGACAACCCGCGCGGAGCCAGAAGGGUUCCUCCACUCGACCACAACAGCGACUCAAACAAGGUACACUUGCUCUGCUCUCCACUGCGCCCUCGUCGUAUUCAUUUCUGUUAAUCCUGCCGACUGGUCGACUGAUUCUUGUCUGGGCAUCUGUUAGGCCCUCACCGAGCUGUACUCGAUGCCCAAUGGGGCACAAGCUUCGACUGAGGAGGGCGAGGCGAGCGGGGGCGAGAGCCAGGAAGAGGAGGAAUGGGACUCGGAUGUUGCAGAGGACGAUGACGACGAUGAUGAUGAUGCCGGUGAUGAAGACGACGUCGAGGACGAGGAAGAGGAGGAGGAGGAGGUCGUGCCACCGCGCUCGGAAAGGCGGUCGAAGCUCGUCCACGACCCUUCGACUGAACGUGGCAAGGGGGUUGCGACGCAGUCGACCAAGCGCCCUAGGACCACCUCUCCAGCGCCGACUGAAAAGGCGCCGAAGCAGCCCAGGGCGGCCUUGUCGAAGCCGAUCAAACUCUUGCCGAAGAUGAAGGUGUCCAUCCCUACCAUAUCAGGGUAACCGUGCUGCUCAUAUUUUCUUAUUCUGUGUGAACUUUAUUUCUGGUCGACGUUGAAGUUAGUCGACUGAUCCUUUUGGAGUUGCAGUGCUGCUACUUCUGAGACCUCGGCCCGGGCUGAUGACCACGAGAUGGAGGAUGCAGCAACUUCGAACCCAGGUACUGUAUUCUUAACGCCGUUCUUAGUCGACUGACUCACGAUCUCUGAUCCUGAUUCUUCUCCGCAGCUCCACCCAAUACUGUCAUCAAUCUCCCUGACGACGACGAGGAUGAAGAACCACUGGCACGCAGGAAGAGUCGGAACACGCCCGCCAGUAAGGUGCCUCAGGAUGUGACGGCGCCUGAGACUCUGACUGUGGAGGAAGAGAACACCACUCGACACACGGUGUCCUUCGCAAAUCCACUGAUGAGUGCUCCGCAGCCCUCCCUCUUCACGACUCACCACGUCCCAGAGGACCAAGCCGGCGCAGCGAAGGAGGCAAUACGCCAGGCGGGACUCAUGAUGGAGCAGCUGAAGACCAUCCGGGACGCGAGCCAGGCAGCUUAUGACGCCAGCUCUGCCCUCCAAAGCAAUGUCCAGGUCAGUCGACCGCUGUUUGUUCUGUUGGAUAUGCUACCAAAAACUUUUCUUUUCCGGAAUUUAUAGCAGUCACCCACUGGGUGUGUCGAAUAAACUCCGUGUUAGCGGGGGCACGCUGAGUGCACCCGCUGGGUGUAGUCCCCAAGGCUAAGGCCGACUGCUUGCAGUCGGCCUUAGGCUUUAUGAUGUCAAUCUUUUCGUCAGUCGACUGGUCGACUGGAUUUCACAAACCGGUGGGGGCACGCUGAGUGCACCCACUAGGUGUAGUCCCCGAGGCUAAGGUCGACUGCUGGCAGUCGGCCUUAGGCUUUAUGAUGUCAAUUUUUCUUUCAAUCGACUAUGUCGACUGGAUUUCACAAACCGGUGGGGGCACGCUGAGUGCACCCACUGGGUGUAGUCCCCGAGACUGUGGUCGACUGCUUGCAGUUGAUCACAGUCUUAGAGAAUGCAUUUUUUUUGAGGUCGACUGGUCGACUUUGCCUUCAUCGGGAUUAGUGGGGGCACGCUGAGUGCACCCACUGGGUGUAGUCCCCGAGACUACGGUCGAAUGCUUGUAUUCGGCUGUAGUCUUAGAAACGUGUGUUUUUCCCUUUUUCACUUGGAAGUGAAUUAUAUUUGACAUUUAGUCGAUUGGUUCUUCGCAGAACUCCUGUGAUCUUAUGGCUCGCUACUCAGAGCUGGAACAAAAACAUACUCAAGUCGAGCUGAGCUUGAAGCUGGUUCAGGAGAAGCUGACAAAGGCAAAGGAGGAGACCGAAGGUAUGUUCGGUGAGACCCUGGUGACUGCUUUUCCCCUUGCUUGUUUCAAAAUCUGAUCUUGCUGUAACUUGCAGGUAAGGUAAGGGAGGCCCAGCAGAAGAAAGACCUUGAGCUAGCUGAGAAGAUCAAGCUUGCUGACGAGAAGUUAGCUUCAGUCACCAAGCUCGAACAAGACAAUACCAAUCUGAAGGCUGCUCUUGGGAUUGCCAACAAGGAAGUCAGUCGACUGAAAGCUGAUAAAGCUGCCCUGACCGAUCAAGUCAGCAAAUUGACUGAGAAGAAAACUGAACUGGAGGCCUUCCUGAGUGGCCUUGCCAAGAAGCUGUUUCUUAUGCUUGAAGGUAAACCUCCAUGUUUGGCAAAUAUUUCCAAUUGUGGCUUUUUCCAUUCGACUAUCCCCUUGACUUAGUGAUCCUCGUUGCAGAAUUUUGUCAAAACUUUGAAGAAGAAACCAGCCGACUGGAGCCGAACCUCGACCCCGUCAAUUCUCCGGUGAACGACGAAGUUGCCAUGGAUGUUUUCCGACUGGAGUCUCGCGUUGCAGCUGUCGUGGACUAUCUCGCAAGGCUGAAGGCCGCCACAUCUCGCAUCGACUCGACGCUCUGGCCUGAGGAGACACUUCAGACUGACCUUGAGUCGCUGAUGGCCCGCUUGAACACGAUCCCUGGUCGAGUGCAGGAGUGGAAGAAGUCUUCGGCUCGGUGUGGUGCAGAUGUCGCUCUGUGUCUGGCCCGAGUCCACUGCAAAGAUGCGCGAGAAGAGAAGCUGGCGGCCCUUCGAGUGGCCAAUACCAAGAAGCACGACUUCAGGUCCUUUAUGGAAACUUUCCUUGCAGCUGCCACUCGGAUCGCCGACGGAAUUGACCUUGAUGAAUUUGUUGCACCUUCCAGCCCUCCACGGGAGGGGUAAAAAACUUCUUCUGGCUCGACGCUUUAAAUUUGCCUCGGUAUGCCGAGUGGAAUUGUAACCGACAAACCUUAACGGGCUUGACGCCUGAGCACUUUCGGUUCCUUUAGAUAUCGAUUCAAACUUGAAUUUGGCGCUUGAAUAUGAUUGCCUUCGGCUCAAAAUGUCUUUUGCAGGUUCAAAGCAAGGCGCCUUUAUUGCAAUCGACUUAUUCUUUAGUCCACUUAGGCGAGCACUGGCUGCGGCUAAGCCCUCCGAGUGAGAAGUUUUAUUCUUCACUCGGUAGGAUUUUGAUAACUUAGGCGAGUGCUUGGACUGCAGCUAAGCCCCCGAGUGAGAGGGUUGCUCUUCACUCGGUAGGAUUUCGGUAACUUAGGCGAGUGCUUGGACUGCAGCUAAGCCCCCGAGUGAGAGGGUUGCUCUUCACUCGGUAGGAUUUUUAUAACUUAGGCGAGCAUGAGGCUGCAGCUAAGCCCCCGAGUGAGAGGGUUGCUCUUCACUCGGUAGGAUUUUGAUAACUUNNNNNNNNNNNNNNNNNNNNNNNNNNNNNNNNNNNNNNNNNNNNNNNNNNNNNNNNNNNNNNNNNNNNNNNNNNNNNNNNNNNNNNNNNNNNNNNNNNNNNNNNNNNNNNNNNNNNNNNNNNNNNNNNNNNNNNNNNNNNNNNNNNNNNNNNNNNNNNNNNNNNNNNNNNNNNNNNNNNNNNNNNNNNNNNNNNNNNNNNNNNNNNNNNNNNNNNNNNNNNNNNNNNNNNNNNNNNNNNNNNNNNNNNNNNNNNNNNNNNNNNNNNNNNNNNNNNNNNNNNNNNNNNNNNNNNNNNNNNNNNNNNNNNNNNNNNNNNNNNNNNNNNNNNNNNNNNNNNNNNNNNNNNNNNNNNNNNNNNNNNNNNNNNNNNNNNNNNNNNNNNNNNNNNNNNNNNNNNNNNNNNNNNNNNNNNNNNNNNNNNNNNNNNNNNNNNNNNNNNNNNNNNNNNNNNNNNNNNNNNNNNNNNNNNNNNNNNNNNNNNNNNNNNNNNNNNNNNNNNNNNNNNNNNNNNNNNNNNNNNNNNNNNNNNNNNNNNNNNNNNNNNNNNNNNNNNNNNNNNNNNNNNNNNNNNNNNNNNNNNNNNNNNNNNNNNNNNNNNNNNNNNNNNNNNNNNNNNNNNNNNNNNNNNNNNNNNNNNNNNNNNNNNNNNNNNNNNNNNNNNNNNNNNNNNNNNNNNNNNNNNNNNNNNNNNNNNNNNNNNNNNNNNNNNNNNNNNNNNNNNNNNNNNNNNNNNNNNNNNNNNNNNNNNNNNNNNNNNNNNNNNNNNNNNNNNNNNNNNNNNNNNNNNNNNNNNNNNNNNNNNNNNNNNNNNNNNNNNNNNNNNNNNNNNNNNNNNNNNNNNNNNNNNNNNNNNNNNNNNNNNNNNNNNNNNNNNNNNNNNNNNNNNNNNNNNNNNNNNNNNNNNNNNNNNNNNNNNNNNNNNNNNNNNNNNNNNNNNNNNNNNNNNNNNNNNNNNNNNNNNNNNNNNNNNNNNNNNNNNNNNNNNNNNNNNNNNNNNNNNNNNNNNNNNNNNNNNNNNNNNNNNNNNNNNNNNNNNNNNNNNNNNNNNNNNNNNNNNNNNNNNNNNNNNNNNNNNNNNNNNNNNNNNNNNNNNNNNNNNNNNNNNNNNNNNNNNNNNNNNNNNNNNNNNNNNNNNNNNNNNNNNNNNNNNNNNNNNNNNNNNNNNNNNNNNNNNNNNNNNNNNNNNNNNNNNNNNNNNNNNNNNNNNNNNNNNNNNNNNNNNNNNNNNNNNNNNNNNNNNNNNNNNNNNNNNNNNNNNNNNNNNNNNNNNNNNNNNNNNNNNNNNNNNNNNNNNNNNNNNNNNNNNNNNNNNNNNNNNNNNNNNNNNNNNNNNNNNNNNNNNNNNNNNNNNNNNNNNNNNNNNNNNNNNNNNNNNNNNNNNNNNNNNNNNNNNNNNNNNNNNNNNNNNNNNNNNNNNNNNNNNNNNNNNNNNNNNNNNNNNNNNNNNNNNNNNNNNNNNNNNNNNNNNNNNNNNNNNNNNNNNNNNNNNNNNNNNNNNNNNNNNNNNNNNNNNNNNNNNNNNNNNNNNNNNNNNNNNNNNNNNNNNNNNAGUCGAGGCUUCAAACCCUUAAGAAUCAGUCCAUUAGCUCGCUCUGCUUGUCCAUUCGACUGCGGAUGGGCGACUGAAGCGUAGUCGACUCGUGUGCCCUGGGAGUUGCAGAAAGUUCUGAAUUCUUCUGAGUCAAAGUUCGACCCAUUAUCCGUGAUGAUGCUGUGCGGGACUCCAUAUCUGAAUAUUAGUUCCCUGAUGAAGCUAACAGCAGUACCGGUGUCAAGGCUCUUGAUUGGUUUAGCUUCGAUCCACUUGGUGAACUUGUCGACUGCCACCAGUACAUGCGUGAAGCCGCUUCGUCCUGUUCUCAAAGGACCGACCAUGUCCAGCCCCCAAACUGCAAAAGGCCAGACGAGUGGGAUGGUCUUCAAAGCUGACGCAGGCUUGUGCGACAUAUUCGAGUAGAACUGACAUCCCUCGCACUUAUCCACUAUCUCUUUUGCCAUCUCGUUCGCCUUGGGCCAGUAAAAUCCGGCUCGGUAUGCUUUGGCCACGAUGGUCCGAGAGGACGCAUGAUGACCACAGGUCCCCGAGUGAAUAUCAUUGAGGAUGAGUCGACCUUCUUCUGGUGUUAUGCACUUCUGACCGACUCCAGUCGCGCUUUCUCUGUAUAAUUGUCCUUUGAUUACGGUAAAGGCCUUAGAUCGACGGACGAUCUGUCGAGCCUCUUCCUCAUCCUUCGGAAGCUCUUUCCUCAAGAUAUAUGCGACAUACGGAAUCGUCCAGUCGGGAAUGACUACCAAAACCUCCAUGAUCAAGUCGACCACCGCUGGGACUUCAACUUCAGUCGGAUCUGUGGCACUCUUGGGCUGUGGAGUUUCUUCGGUGAAAGGAUCUUCUUUGACUGAUGGAGUGUGUAUAUGCUCCAAGAACACACCACUCGGAAUGGCUUCUCUCUUGGAACCUAUCUUUGCUAGAUCAUCAGCUGCUUGAUUUUUCAGUCGGGGUAUAUGAUGGAGCUCCAACCCCUCGAACUUCUUUUCCAGCUUCCUCACUGCACUGCAGUAUCCAGUCAUGGCUGGGCUUCUCACGUCCCACUCUUUCAUCACCUGAUUUACCACUAAAUCCGAGUCGCCAUAGACCAUUAGGCGACGGACGCCGAGUGAAAUGGCCAUGCGCAACCCAUAUAGGAGGGCCUCAUAUUCUGCCUCAUUGUUGGAGGAAUCAAAGUGAAUCUGGAGCACAUAUCUGAGCUUAUCUCCUCUGGGGGAAACCAGGACAACCCCAGCACCGGAACCAUUCAACAUCUUAGAGCCAUCGAAAAACAUGGUCCAAUGCUCCGAGUGAACUUCAGUCGGCUGCUGUUGUUCAAUCCACUCGGCGAGGAAAUCUGCUAUCGCCUGGGACUUAAUGGCUUUCUUUGCCUCAAACUUGAUAUCAAGGGGAAGAAGUUCAAUCGCCCAUUUGGCCACUCGACCAGUUGCAUCUCUGUUGUGCAAAAUCUCUGAUAGUGGAGCGUCGCUGACGACUGUGAUGGAAUGGUUAGAGAAAUAAUGAGCAACCUUCUUUGUGGUCAUGUAUAUUCCAUACACAAGCUUCUGAUAAUGAGGAUAUCUCUGCUUGGAUGGAGUCAAGACUUCAGACAAAUAAUACACUGGGCGCUGAACUUUGAGAGCUUUUCCUUCUUCUUCCCGCUCGACCGUUAGCACAGUACUGACGACUUGUCCUGUGGCUGCGAUGUAGAGCAACAGAGGCUCUUUGCUGAUUGGAGCAGCAAGCACCGGCUGGGUGGAGAGCAGAGCUUUUAGCUCGGCAAACGCUGCAUCAGCUUCUGGAGUCCACUCGAACUUGUCAGCCUUCUUCAUCAGUCGGUAAAGAGGCAGUGCCUUUUCACCGAGUCGUGAGAUGAAUCGACUUAAUGCGGCCAAGCAUCCGGUAAGCUUCUGGACAUCGUGCACUCGCACGGGGCGUUUCAUUCGGAGGAUAGUGCCAAUCUUCUCUGGGUUAGCGUCGAUUCCCCGUUCGGAAACGAGAAAACCGAGUAACUUGCCACCAGGAACUCCAAAUGUGCACUUUGAUGGAUUGAGCUUGAUAUCAUACCUUCUGAGGUUGGCAAAUGUUUCGGCGAGGUCAGCGAGCAGGUCGGAACCUUUUCGUGACUUGACAACAAUAUCAUCCAUAUAAGCUUCCACAUUCCGACUGAUUUGGGUGAGUAGACACUUCUGAAUCAUUCGCAUAAAUGUGGCUCCGGCAUUCUUGAGGCCGAAUGGCAUGGUGAUAUAGCAGAAGCACCCGAAUGGAGUGAUGAAAGCUGUUUUUACCUCAUCGGGCCCGUACAGACGGAUCUGGUGGUACCCGGAGUAAGCAUCUAAAAAAGACAACCUCUCGCAUCCCGCGGUCGAGUCGACAAUUUGAUCUAUGCGAGGGAGAGGAAAGUGAUCUUUCGGGCAGGCCCGGUUGAUGUGCUUGAAAUCAAUGCACAUUCGGAGCGACUUGUCCUUCUUAGGAACCAUGACGACAUUAGCGAGCCACUCGGAGUGGUAUAUCUCUCGGAUAAAUCCUGCCGCCAACAGUCGAGCCACUUCUUCACCGAUGGCCUUUCUCUUCUGGACGGCGGACCGCCGAAGAUGCUCUUUGACUGGUUUUGCAGACGAGUCGACUCUUAGGCGAUGCUCAGCCAGUCCCCUGGGAACACCUGGCAUGUCAGCGGGCUUCCAUGCGAAAAUGUCCCAGUUCUCACGGAGGAACUGGAUGAGCGCUUCUUCCUAUUUUGGGUCGAGUGUUGUGGAGAUGCGGGUCGGAGCUGCUUCGGGGUCGGUCGGGUGAAUGUGAACAGGCUUCGUCUCACCGGACGACUGGAAUGCAGACUCUGUGGCGGGCUUCUUGGAUCGCAGCAAGUCACUCGGAUCUGCGUUUUGCUUGUAUUCUUCGAACUCGACCGCUGUCACUUGGGAAUCGGCAAUCUUGGAGCCCUUCUGAAAGCAUUCCUCUGCCUUUUUCCUAUCACCGGUGACAGUGAUCACACCUUUGGGACCGGGCAUCUUCAAUUUGAGGUACACGUAACAUGGUCGAGCCAUGAACCGUGCAUAGGCUGGUCUCCCCAAAAUGGCAUGAUAUGCACUUUGAAAAUCCACGACCUCAAACGUCAACUUUUCUUUGCGAAAAUGCUUCGAAUCACCAAACACUACGUCCAAAGCUAUCUGGCCGAGUGACUCGGCCUUCUUCCCUGGUAUAACUCCAUGGAAGCUCAUGUUACUAGUGCUCAGUCGGGACAUCGGAAUGCCCAUACCUUUCUAUGUGUCUGCAUACAAUAAGUUCAGCCCACUUCCACCAUCCAUCAGCACCUUUGUCAGUCGAGUGCCUUCGACAACUGGAUCGACCACCAAAGCUUGCCUCCCGGGGGUGGCAAUAUGAGUCGGGUGAUCAGAUUGGUCGAAUGUGAUGGGUGUUUGAGACCACUUCAGAUAAUUUGCCUUUGCUGGGGCAACCAUGUUCACCUCUCGGUUAAUCACUUUCAGUCGACUUCUACUUUCCACAUCUGCAAAGAUCAUCAGAGUGGAGUUGAUAUGCGGAUAUCCUCCCUCACUGUCCUCUUUGUCUUCGGCCUUGUCCGACUCCUUCUCCUUGUCCUUAGACUGUUUUCCCUGAAACUGCUGGAUCAGGAGUCGACAUUGGCGAGUGGUGUGCUUUGGGUAAAUGAUAUUCCCCUCUUCAUCUUUCUUUGUGUGAAUGUGACACGGCAUAUCCAUCACGUCGUUCCCUUCUUUAUCCUUCACCUUCUUGGGAUUCCAGGAUCCUUUUGGUUUCCCCUUAAACUUUCCUUGAGUCACGGCCAGAGCCUCUCCAGGAGCUGCCGGUUCAGCCUUCCGCUUCUGUUUCCGACUGGUGUUUCCUUUUUCCGACUGACUCGGCUUGUGCUUGCCGCUUCGGAGUCGGUCUUCUUCUUCGCCGUUGGCGUACUUGGUAGCAAUCUCCAUCAUCCGACUCAAGGUCAUGUCACCGGUUCGACCAAAUUUCAAACUCAGUUCUCUGUUCUUGACGCCGUCUUUGAAGGCGCAUACUGCCUGAUGAUCAGAGACAUUUUCCACAGUGUGGUGCAAAGUGAUCCACCUCUGAAUAUACUCUCUGAGAGUCUCAUUAGUUUUCUGCACGCAGACUUGCAACUCUGUCAAUCCCGCUGGUCGCUUGCAAGUCCCUUCAAACGUUCUGACGAACACUCGGGACAGAUCUUCCCAAGUGUAAAUGCUGCUAGGAGGUAAUUGAGUCAACCAUGCCCUGGCAGAGCCUUCCAACAUGAGGGGCAAAUGCUUCAUGGCCACCUCGUUGUUCCCACCACCGAUCUGAACUGCCACUCGGUAGUCUUCAAGCCAAGUUUCAGGCUUAGACUCACCAGUGAACUUGCUGACUCCUGUUGCCAACCUGAAAUUGGGGGGGAUAACUGCGGCUCUGAUAGCUCUGCUGAAACAUUCAGGACCAGAAACAUGUACUCGACUGCUCGUGGGUACAUCUCUGUCGAGUGCGCCUCGAUGGGCUCUGUUCCGGUCGACCAACCCUUGCACGAUAAUGGAUCGUGCGUCGAAGCCUGGCUCUCUGAGGUCAACUGGAACCCUACGCCCUGUACUGUACUGACGCCUAUCAUCUGGCUGCCGAGGAGCGUAAGACCCACCCCUCGGAGGGGAAUAGGGCACUCGACGCCUAUCAUCUCGGUCGAGUCUGUCGCCAUAUUGAUCUCGCCGAUUCUCACGCCCUUCGCGCCGCGGAGGCGAUCUGGGGCUGUGAGCCGACUGAACCGUAUUCACAGUGACAGAUCGACUGUGUAUUCUGUUGCGCGACUGAGACACGGCUGAAUUCUGAUCUCCUGCUGCCCGGAGCAGAUCCCUGAUCUGCAGCAAACCUCUGCCAGCUUCCGACUGCGAAGGCUGAAUGGACUCUGCUAUACGGGUCGCAGCUGCUAAAUUCUGAAUUGGGGUUCGAUAUACCUGAGUCGGCGGGAAGAGUUGACGUCGACUGAUGUCGGGAACUCGUUGCCGCGCGCGCUCGUCAAGUGCUCGCUGAAGGUUCUCCAGUCGAGUGCGCUCGGCCAAAUUGGCUAGACGCGCCUCUUCCAAGGCACGAGCCUCGGGGGUUUCUCUUGCGAUGGGAAUACGCAGGGGAUCCUCGUUCCUGCGGCGAAGCUCUUCUCUUUGCAGAGAGUCGAGUGGCUCGGGCUGGUACUCUUCGUAGUCUCGUGCAGGGUCGCCGCCGUCACCUGCUCCACCACCACGGGCGAAGCCAGGAGGGCUGUGGGGCCCGUCGACCAUCAAGAUUUCCGCCGCUGGAUCACUGCUUCCGCACUCGGAUGCAGUCUCUCCGGAGCCAGUCGACUGAUCGAACAAGCCGUAGAGAGAUUCGUUGGGCUUGAUUGCCGCAACUUGUGUAGUGGCCGAUUGGCGAGCCACCGCGUGACUCACCCAUCGCUGAAGCCUCGACCGGCCUGAGCGCUUGCGCCGGCGGGAGACCGGGAGGGUGGACGAUGGAGGAGCCGACCGAUACUGGGUCGACGGUUGCCGCAGCAGAACGCUGCGGACACAUGCGCGAAAAUGCGUCGCACCGCGGACGGGGAGCGCGUCUACGUCGAGUGGAGCCUCCUGGAGCCAUGCGGAGUCGUCGGCGAUGAAGGUGAGAGUGCCGAGACGGAUCUCUUGACCCUUGACCAAAACUCCAGCAGACACCAUGAUGAGAGUACUCGGAAGAAUCGCAACUUCUCCACAAAAUCGCUAAAACACCUGCCCCAAGGUGGGCGCCAACUGUCGUGGUUCUAAGCCUGACAGUAGAGUGGGGGUAGGUAUGGAGAGGCAAGGUCCUAGCUAUGGAGAGGUUGUAAGCACAAAGGAUGUACGAGUUCAGGCCCUUCUCGGAAGAAGUAACAGCCCUACGUCUCGGAGCCCGGAGGCGGUCGAGUGGAUUAUGAAUGUAUGAAUUACAAGGUGCCGAACCCCUCUGCCUGUGGAGGGGGGUGGCUUAUAUAGAGUACGCCAGGACCCCAGCCAGCCCACGCAGGAGAGGGUUUAAGGUGAGUUAAGUCUGGGGCGUUACUGGUAACGCCCCACAUAAAGUGCCUUUACUAUCAUAAAGUCUACUUGAUUACAGGCCGUUGCAGUGCAGAGUGCCUCUUGACCUCCUGGUGGUCGAGUGAGUCUUCGUGGUCGAGUCCUUCAGGCUAGUCGAGUGAAUCCUCUUUGGUCGACUGGAAGGUGACCUCUUCUAAGGAUGUCCUGGGGUAAGUUACUUGGAUCAGGUCCAUGACCCUACCCUAGGUACAUAACCCCAUCACCGCUCCCGUCUCCCUACGAGAACGCCAUCCAUAGCACUCACGCUUAUCUUGCGUAUUUUAGAGUAUCCACUUUCGCUUGUCUAUGAACUGAUAUAAGCAACCCAGAAGUCCUUUUCCGUGGACACGGCUAUUCGAAUAGAUGAUGUUAACCCUGCAGGGGUGUACUUCUUCACACACACUCUCACCACUUACCGCCGUUUACACGACAUGUACUCGGCAACCUUCAAGCGGAAGCCCAACGUGGGUGUCGGCCACGGCCUGCCUAAACACUCAAGUCUCUAGUCCAGGUUUAUCGCCUAUUCGGGUUCCAUCCAUGAGGAGAUCCGGCCGAAGUUUUGCUCACAGCCCCAAACGAUGUGAACAAGGUUCCGUGACGCCAAACGGGUGCCCGGUAUACCCAUCCACGUGCCUACCGCAUCACAGCCCACCCCUCCGGUCAGCGCUGCCCACGGCCUCCAGCAUACUACAAACACCAGAAACUACUUGCAACUCCUGGACAGAGGACAAGGGUGAUUAAGAAGCCGAGAGGGUCCAUUGGUUUCGGGCCCAAUGCGUGGUAGUAGCUGAAUCAUGGAUCACAAACACAGAACUCAGUUCCUGAGGACGGCUGCAAUGAGACAACCCACCAUGUACUCCUACAUGGCCUCUCACCGCUAACUUUACCAAAUCGUGUUCACACACUUAGCUCACACACAGUAGGGCAUAUUCACACACCUCUGAUUCAUUCCCGAUGAAUCAGACCUGAUACAACUCUAAGCAGUAGCAGGCAUGACAAACAAACAUGAAUGAGUAGGCACAACAGGGCUCAAGCAACUCCUACUCAUACUAGUGGGUUUCAUUUAUUUACUGUGGCAAUGACAGGUCAUGCAGAGGAUAAAGGGGUUCAGCUACCGCAGCAAGUAACAGAUGACUCGUUGUUGUCCUAAUGCAGUAAAAGAGAGCAGGAGCGAGAGAGUAGGAUUGUAUCAGAAUGAACUAGGGGGUUUGGCUUGCCUGGCACUUCUGAAGAUAAUAUAGCUCUUCAUCGGUGUCAUCGAUCACAUCGCCGGUACAACGUCUAUCGAGGGGGAACAACACCGGCAAACACAGAAGAAACACGAUCAAUGCAAUGCACAAUAUGAUGCAUGCUAUGACAUGGCAAUAUGAAUGUGUUUUGGGCUAAUGCACCUAGCUAUGAUUUAAAUGAAGUUGGUUUGAAUACAUGAUUCAAAUUCCAACUCCAUAUAUGGUUAUUUAAAUGCCCUUUAUUUGUUUUGUCCAAAACAGAGAACAAACAUUGUUCAAACAUGCAUGAAAAUGGUACAGAUGGAUUCCUUGAAUUUUUCUGAUAAUUUUUCAUAUAUGACUUAUUUCAUUUGGAGUUACGGUUAAUUUUCUAUGAUUUAUUGAAGUUUUAGCUAUUUCUGGAAUUUUCCUGAUUAUUUAUAAAAUAAACUAAAUUCCAGAAAAGGAAUAUUGCGUCAGCAUGGCGUCAUGCUGACCUCAGCAGAGUCAACAGGGGCUGGUCCGGGUCAAACUGACCAGUGGGGUCCACUGGUCAGUGACACAGAGCUGGCUGGAGUCACAGACAUGUGGGGCCGGUCAAAGGCCACGUCAGCGAGGUCAACGCCGACGCGUGGGGCCACUGUGAUUAAUUUAACUAAACAGGAGUUAAGCUGUGAUUAAUUAGGGGCGUGGGGCCCAUGAGUCAGUGGCCUAGGGGGUUGGUUAGUGUGGGGGGGUUAGCCGCUAACGACGGCCACGUCGGAUUCGCCGGCGGUUGGACGACGGCGACGACCCAGAGCGGCGGUGGCUCGACGGAGUUGCACCAGGGACGACGGAUCGACGCGCCAAGGGCACCAGGAGGUGGCCCGUGGCCGCGCGCAUCCAGGGGAACCAACGGAAGGGUGCGGGGUGGACGGAGUUCGCAGGAAGCGAGGUUGUGGCGGCGGCCGGAGUUCAGGCGCCGAUGAAAACGACGACACGGUGCACGGGAGGAUCUACGGUUAGCACCUACGCGUUCUAUGAGAGCUCACGAACCCAAUGGAGGCACGCACGGGACCAAAUGGCCACCGGAGCCUCGUCGGCGAUGAGCUCGUGCGGCGGUGUACUGUCGGGGGAGAGAGGCGCGGCGGCUACGGCAUGCUAGAGAGAAAACGGAGAGGGGGAGGAUGAUCAGGAGCUCACGUGGAGUGCAGUGGUGGCCUCGGCGUGUUCGGGGAAGCUCGGACGGCGACGGGUCGACGAUGGAGAUCCGCGGCGGCCGACGAUGAAGACGACGAUGGCGGCGAUGUUGCAAGGCUUCCGGAGGGCCGUGGAUCGGUGGGGAGGAAGAGGGGGUCGAGGCGGAGCUCCUGAGCUCAGCGGAAGGGCGAGGGGUGGCCGGUGGCUAUGGAUGCGAUGGCGGCGCCCUCCGGUGGCUCUCGGUGGUGCUCCAAAUCGAGAGAGGGAGAGAGCUAGAGCGAGCAGAGAGAAGGGAUAGCGGUCGAGGGGGUCGAGGGCGUCUCCGUGGCGUUGCGGGAGACGUCCAGGGGGAGGAGGAGGCAGCCAGGCAGGGAGGAGGUGGCCGGGGUGCGUGGCCGCACGCGCCGGGCGCCUGCCCGUCCUCCUGGCAGGGAGGAAGAUGACAGGGGAGGCCCAGAUGGGCUGGGCCGCAUAGGAGCUGGGUCGGCUGGGCUGCCAGGUGAGCGCCAGGUAGUUUUCUCUGCUCUGUUUUAUUGUUCUGUUUGUUUUAUUUUUAAAUUUAUUUUGCCACUAUUUUGAAUUUAAAAUAAUUCAAACAAUGCCAAAAGCUCCUCUGAAUAUUUUUAUUUUGCUAGAUGGACUUUUCCAAAAGCUCAUAAAAAUAUUUCAGGGGUAUUUGAAAUUAUAUUCUAGUUAUAUGAAUAUAAUUCAAAUUCAAAUAGCUAAUGAUUUAAAUUCAAAGUCCCAAAAUUAAGUCCUUAAAAAUGUUCAAUAUUUUGGUUGGGACCAGAACCCUUUGCCAAAAUUAUCAAACAUUUAAGAAGAGCAUUUUGGAACAAUGAAUGAGAUUUUAGGGUUUUUGCCCUUCUUUUAUUUAGGGUUUUGAGGCUUCUAAAUUCCUCAGUUCAAGUUUCAAAAAUUUAAACAUGAUGCAUGGAUGCAAUGCCACUAGUUACAGGCAAGCUCUAGGGCUGUGACAACUCACCCCCACUAAACAAGAAUCUCGCCCCGAGAUUCAAGACGUGAGGUAAGAGGAAAAGGGAAGUCACAACUAUCAUAAUCUUCAUGAUCCAUUUGCCCUUCUCAAAGAGGUUGAUUCAUUCUAUCACUUUGGUCUUGACGUCUUUGCUUUCGAGAUCUUCACUCGACACAACAACAGAAAGAAGGGGAAAACCCGACGGGAUUUACUCUUCUUGAAGAUCGAGCAACUCAAGAUCAAGUCACGGAGUAAGACAUAGCAUCAUCUCUCAAGCUGAGACACGAAGCACACAUCUAAAGGGAUGGAGUGGAAUAGAUGGCGAAGGUUCACUAGGUAGGCAAUAAUUGCACACCUAAGAAGGUGGUGAACGGUUGUCAACGUAGCGAGGAGUUGAGUUGCCAUGAUACCUCAGUGAGACAUCCUGGAGGGGGGGGGUGAUUCGUAGAUAUAUCCCCUUAAGUGGCAAAAAGAAUUACCUUUGAUUCAGGAUCAUUGAAACUCUUUAUACCAGCUUAAGGCAAAUCACAAUCGAUCAUUUGGAGGAGGUCCGUAGAAUGGCAUACUCAGACUUGGAUGAUGUGGAUUACCUUGUUGAAGACAACGUAAUGGAUGAAUUUUGCUUACCACCAGAAAUGGAAGAGACCCAUGGUAGAAUAGCACAGUGGCGGUGCAAGCUGGGAACAAAAUGCAAAUGCUGGGAAUGAUUCUGGUAACUGGGGAAGAACCCAUCAAUAGAGAGUGAAUUCACUAUUUGAAAAGGUCAUAGCAUUGCCGAGGGAACUGAGAGCAUCCCAGUUAGUGUCGAUGAUAACACCUAGCGCUUGCGCGUGCUCUCAAGAACUUGAGCAUUUCCAUAAUCAUCAGGGUUUUACCAACAUCCAUGUCAAGGGUGCUGACAACACAACAUACUACCAUGGUGACCAGCGAUGGACGAUGCAGAUGCAAAGGAGGAUAACACUUUCUCAUAUUUCACCUUAGCGAGGCCAAGGGGACGAAAUCUGGAUGAUCGACCGAGAGACAUUUAGCACUCCGCUUCUAAUGUUCUCCUUGAUGUACUAGCGUAUCCCAUUCCUUGAAAUGGUCUGGUAUCUAGAACAUCAGGUAAAGGUCGUACUUCGGAAACACUAAAAUCAUAAGGCAUAGCUAGGGGGUAAAUCCUACGAAGUCCUUAUGGGGAGGUGGCCAACUUCCUCAAACAAGAUACUAUAAUAAUAGGUCUACCGGAUGGGUGUGUUGGCCACGACAUCCACCUUGCCGGUUAUCGAGAGACCAAUAUUAUAGUUCUUGGGAAAUGUUCCAACCAUCACAUCUGCCUGAGAUUCAGAUCUGGUUGGUGUCAGGAUAUCCCAGACUCAUCAAGUCUAGAAAGAAAAAUGGAAGUUUGCAACACAAAUCGACGAGAUAAUGUUGCGGGAUUCUCAGGGAGUGAGCUACGGUAGCAAGCUCCAAAACAUGAGCUGGUUCUGCUAUAACAUGUGAACAUGUUGUCCGAGACAAGCAUGACCACACAGUAGUCUUAUAAUAAAACACUACCGAGUUCAAGAGGGAAACCAUCAUCGAGGAUAUCGAAGUCCUUGCAUAAGUCUUGCUCUUAAGAAGGAACUCCUUCUCCUUGAACAAAUCAAUCAGUGGCUUGAUGUGCUAGGGGAUACAUAUGGAAUGAGGAUGAUCAGUCUAUCAGACCAUAGAAUACUUCGCACAUGCAUGACUGACUUGGGAUGAUUCCAGAGGAGGUAAAACAAGCCUUCUCAAAUUCAUGGCGGCAACUUGCAUCAAGUGCACAUGAAUUAGAGGGACUCACUUCUUUUGUCCAAACAUAUGCUUCACGAAGGAGUCAUGAAGAUAAUGCUUACACAAGUUUCCAACACUAGUUUAAUGUUCAACAAAAUCAUGGAGGAGAUAAGGAUGUUGUCAAUGGGCUCAACAACAAUUCAUCGGAAUUUCCAUACCACUGGACUUCCACCAUCAUGUGAACACGGUGAUAGUAUUGGUCAGACCAAAAGAUGUAAUGGUAUAUGCUCGAGGGAUCAACCACGAGUAAGACAACAUUACGAGCAUCGUUGGUACUGAUUUGAUUUGAGGAUAGCCCAUACUCAAAUCAAAGUUUUGGCUAGGACGAUAGGUCCAGCAAUUGAUCGCGAGGAUCAAUCAAUGAAGACAUCACCUUUCUUCAACACACACUACACAAGAAUAUCCCUUUGGAACGAACUAAGUCAGGCAAGCUUUUAUCUUCCAAUUCUCCAAGUUGUUGUCUAGCUUAACCAACUAGCUCAGGGAUAUCCAACACAGAUUCUUGGGGAAAAGGUGGUUCACAAGAAACCAACUUGAUCACGAGCUCAACAUAACAGUCAGGAAACAACCCGGUAACACUUCCAAGAAGAUAUUUGGAAAGUCACGAACCACCGGUAUGUUACUAAGCUCGAGAACAAUCUUGCUUUUGAGGGCAAGACGAUAUGAUCAAAUGAGUGAGGACUUGACAAGAUCCUAACUCAUCAAUCGAAGGGUGCACCGAAAUAAGGACUAGGUAGCACGAUCAGUCUUAGAAGGAUGAUUCAAGAACCAACACGCUAAGAAUGAGAUUAUUGUCCUUUAACUAACAGCAACAAGGUUGCUAGGAGUAUUGAUUUCACACAUCACGAUUCACUUGUCGACAUUCCGGUUACAAUAACACAGGAACUGAGGAAUGAACAAUGAUGGCAAGAAGUAUCACUGUACCAAGAGUUCAUAGGGUGGUGUGCAAUUCCCAUGACACUCUUGAUAUAAAGAUGGUAAUACUCUAAGGUAGAACAGAGCAAAAGCAAGAUUAGCAAUUUGAUCUGUGGAUUACGACUGUUUUGACCCAAUCCUGGAGAUGGACAAGGUACUGGAGUUUGUUUCCCCUAGUCAUUCCAGAAUAGAAUGGCUCGACGGACCACAAGAAUAAUAAGAAUGCACGCAUACUCUUGACUAUCAAAUGAUAGAUGAGGGUCAGAAGACAACUAAGAGGGACAACUCAAAGAACAUAUAAUUUUCUGAGUUGUGGAUGCAUAGAUUAGUAUGUCGAACCAAGUUCCACAUGUUUCUUCCGGAUAACCCAUGCAGAGAGGUAGGACUGGCAGAGUCACGAUUUAUGAAUGGAGAACUCCUCAAGAGUACUCUAAUUGAGAUCUUUUGAUCCAAUAACUUUUGCCUGAAUGGUUCAUGGUAUUUGGAAGAAGGAAAUACCACGGACCUCGAGGACUAUCACAAGGUUACUAAUAUCCUAAAGGAGCUAGCAAACACUAUCAACAUGAAGUAAGUAGAGUGAAUCUCGGGUUCAAGAACCCAGGAAUAGAAUACCUACUACUAAGUAGCAUCACGGGAUGCUUUCGAGAAUAAAGGCCAGAAUCAUCACACUGGAAACACAGAUCAUGGCUAGACCACUAGAUGAUCCCCUAAGCACUUAGGGUUAUAAUUAUUAACUCCAACAUAUAUGUCGAGGCAAUAAAGUACCUUAACUCACUAAUUUGUGUGAUUAAUCUGACCAAAAGGACAUCGGGAACGGGAAGAAGGGAUUUGCAAAUGCAUCAGACUAUUUAGAAACCUGGGAUGACUCGGACAGCAUAACGGCUAUAAAUGCUCAAAAAGAUUUGAGACAUGCUACAAAAAUGGUGGCAUAGCCACUCAGAAGCACAAUAUCAAGGUCUCGAGAUCAAUUAUUAACAUACAGAGGUAGAAACUGAACUGAGACUUAAUUCCAACAAUUCUAUAAGUCUAUGGAUUAGUAACACGUGAUCCUGAUAGAAAGAAGAGAUAGCCUAGUUCUUAAUCCCCGUAGAAGAGAAGAGGUUGACUCAGAUCAGAAGGCCAUGAGGUAUAAGGAGUAAAAAGAGCCUUACGUUCCAUCCCACAAUCAAUUCCCUUAUAUAACUAAAGAAUUUCUAGACUCAACUUCGACCAGUUUAGCUUGGUAAUCCUACAGGCAGUCAAGCUCUGAUACCAACGCUGUCAGGACCCCGAUCCUAAAUCACACCGAUCUAGCAUGUAACGCAUCAUAUCACUUUGCGGCCUCAUGCACGGUAUUCCCACGGGUGCCACCUUACCUGGCCCGGGACCGUUUGCGCCUUUUGGCUCACGUAUAUGAUAGUGUCGCUAGGAUCCAUAUGACAAAGAACCCGGGCUGACAUGGCUAGUCAUGAACCCAAAAUGGCACUAACUUACAGGGACAGGCAUCCAUGACCCAGCCUCGAACGUGUCGGUCAUCAGCGAGUGAAUCCAGGCUGUAGCACUGGGCUAGCAGGACUCCGGUGAACCGGGCUGUAGCGGGCUAACAGGACUCCAGUAUUCAUCUCGUGACAUUUCCCCGAAGGGACAGACACAGGAAUAAAGAAGGACACAUGCCGGCCAGCCUAAGUGUUCCGGAGCAGUAGCAAGCUACCAUGGCUCAGUGGAAACACUAGGAGACAUUUCCCGGUAAGAGAGGCUACUAAGGAUAAACAACUAGAUAGCCAGAUCCCACACAUACCAAGCAUUUCAAUAACAUACACACAAUAUGCUCGAUAUGUGCAAAUACAACAUGGCAUCACAACAUGACUCUACGACUCAAGUAUUUAUUCAUUAGGCUCCGAGGAGCGGGAAAUUACAAACAUGGGUCUCAUGACCCAACAAUCAGAGCAUACAAGUCAAAGCACAUGCGGAAGCUUAACAUAUCUGAGUACAGACAACUAUAAAUGAAAAAGGCUGAGAAGCCUGACUAUCUACCAGAUCCUGCCGAGGGCACAAGAUCGUAGCUGAGGUAACAAGCUAAACGUCGAAGCCCACAUGGAACUACUAGCGAGACUGACGUCUCUCUGCAAAACAUAAAAUAGGCAAACGUGAGUACAAAUGUACCCAGCAAGACUUACAUCAGAACUAGCUACAUAUGCACCAUUAUCAACAAGGGGGAUGGUGGAGUUUAACUGCAGCAAGCCAGCUUUGACUCGGUGGCUAACCUAAACUACGACUGCAAGUAACUCUUUUGAGGUGGCGCACAUGAGUCCACAUGUUCACCAACCAAUACACCACUAUGGAACCGCUCCCGUCUCCCUACGAGAACGCCAUCCAUAGCACUCACGCUUAUCUUGCGUAUUUUAGAGUAUCCACUUUCGCUUGUCUAUGAACUGAUAUAAGCAACCUAGAAGUCCUUUUCCGUGGACACGGCUAUUCGAAUAGAUGAUGUUAACCCUGCAGGGGUGUACUUCUUCACACACGCUCUCACCACUUACCGCCGUUUACACGACAUGUACUCGGCAACCUUCAAGCGGAAGCCCAACGUGGGUGUCGGCCACGGCCUGCCUAAACACUCAAGUCUCUAGUCCAGGUUUAUCGCCUAUUCGGGUUCCAUCCAUGAGGAGAUCCGGCCGGAGUUUCGCUCACAGCCCCAAACGAUGUGAACAGGGUUCCGUGACGCCAAACGGGCGCCCGGUAUACCCAGCCACGUGCCUACCGCAUCAUAGCCCACCCCUCCGGUCAGCGCUGCCCACGGCCUCCAGCAUACUACAAACACCAGAAACUACUUGCAACUCCUGGACAGAGGACAAGGGUGAUUAAGAAGCCGAGAGGGUCCAUUGGUUUCGGGCCCAAUGCGUGGUAGUAGAUGAAUCAUGGAUCACAAACACAGAACUCAGUUCCUGAGGACGGCUGCAAUGAGACAACCCACCAUGUACUCCUACAUGGCCUCUCACCGCUAACUUUACCAAAUCGUGUUCACACACUUAGCUCACACACAGUAGGGCAUAUUCACACACCUCUGAUUCAUUCCCGAUGAAUCAGACCUGAUACAACUCUAAGCAGUAGCAGGCAUGACAAACAAACAUGAAUGAGUAGGCACAACAGGGCUCAAGCAACUCCUACUCAUACUAGUGGGUUUCAUCUAUUUACUGUGGCAAUGACAGGUCAUGCAGAGGAUAAAGGGGUUCAGCUACCGCAGCAAGUAACAGAUGACUCAUUGUUGUCCUAAUGCAGUAAAAGAGAGCAGGAGCGAGAGAGUAGGAUUGUAUCGGAAUGAACAAGGGGGUUUUGCUUGCCUGGCACUUCUGAAGAUAAUAUAGCUCUUCAUCGGUGUCAUCGAUCACAUCGCCGGUACAACGUCUAUCGAGGGGGAACAACACCGGCAAACACAGAAGAAACACGAUCAAUGCAAUGCACAAUAUGAUGCAUGCUAUGACAUGGCAAUAUGAAUGUGUUUUGGGCUAAUGCACCUAGCUAUGAUUUAAAUGAAGUUGGUUUGAAUACAUGAUUCAAAUUCCAACUCCAUAUAUGGUCAUUUAAAUGCCCUUUAUUUGUUUUGUCCAAAAUAGAGGACAAACAUUGUUCAAACAUGCAUGAAAAUGGUACAGAUGGAGUCCUUGAAUUUUUCUGAUAAUUUUUCAUAUAUGACUUAUUUCAUUUGGAGUUACGGUUAAUUUUCUAUGAUUUAUUGAAGUUUUAGCUAUUUCUGGAAUUUUCCUGAUUAUUUAUAAAAUAAACUAAAUUCCAGAAAAGGAAUAUUGCGUCAGCAUGGCGUCAUGCUGACCUCAGCAGAGUCAACAGGGGCUGGUCCGGGUCAAACUGACCAGUGGGGUCCACUGGUCAGUGACACAGCGCUGGCUGGAGUCACAGACAUGUGGGGCCGGUCAAAGGCCACGUCAGCGAGGUCAACGCCGACGCGUGGGGCCACUGUGAUUAAUUUAACUAAACAGGAGUUAAGCUGUGAUUAAUUAGGGGCNNNNNNNNNNNNNNNNNNNNNNNNNNNNNNNNNNNNNNNNNNNNNNNNNNNNNNNNNNNNNNNNNNNNNNNNNNNNNNNNNNNNNNNNNNNNNNNNNNNNNNNNNNNNNNNNNNNNNNNNNNNNNNNNNNNNNNNNNNNNNNNNNNNNNNNNNNNNNNNNNNNNNNNNNNNNNNNNNNNNNNNNNNNNNNNNNNNNNNNNNNNNNNNNNNNNNNNNNNNNNNNNNNNNNNNNNNNNNNNNNNNNNNNNNNNNNNNNNNNNNNNGUCGGAUUCGCCGGCCGUUGGACGACGGCGACGACCCAGAGCGGCGGUGGCUCGACGGAGUUGCGGCAGGGACGACGGAUCGACGCGCCAAGGGCACCAGGAGGUGGCCCGUGGCCGCGCGCAUCCAGGGGAACCAAUGAAAGGGUGCGGGGUGGACGGAGUUCGCCGGAAGCGAGGUUGUGGCGGCGGCCGGAGUUCGGGCGCCGAUGAAAACGACGACACGGUGCACGGGAGGAUCUACGGUUAGCACCUACGCGUUCUAUGAGAGCUCACGAACCCAAUGGAGGCACGCACGGGACCAAAUGGCCACCGGAGCCUCGUCGGCAAUGAGCUCGUGCGGCGGCGUACUGUCGGGGGAGAGAGGCGCGGCGGCUACGGCAUGCUAGAGAGAAAACGGAGAGGGGGAGGAUGAUCAGGAGCUCACGUGGAGUGCAGUGGUGGCCUCAGCGUGUUCGGGGAAGCUCGGACGGCGACGGGUCGACGAUGGAGAUCCGCGGCGGCCGACGAUGAAGACGACGAUGGCGGCGAUGUUGCAAGGCUUCCGGAGGGCCGUGGAUCGGUGGGGAGGAAGAGGGGGUCGAGGCGGAGCUCCUGAGCUCAGCGGAAGGGCGAGGGGUGGCCGGUGGCUAUGGAUGCGACGGCGGCGCCCUCCGGUGGCUCUCGGUGGUGCUCCAAAUCGAGAGAGGGAGAGAGCUAGAGCGAGCAGAGAGAAGGGAUAGCGGUCGAGGGGGUCGAGGGCGUCUCCGUGGCGUUGCGGGAGACGUCCAGGGGGAGGAGGAGGCAGCCAGGCAGGGAGGAGGUGGCCGGGGCGCGUGGCCGCGCGCGCCGGGCGCGUGCCCGUCCUCUUGGCAGGGAGGAAGACGACAGGGGAGGCCCAGAUGGGCUGGGCCGCAUAGGAGCUGGGCCGGCUGGGCUGCCAGGUGAGCGCCAGGUAGUUUUCUCUGCUCUGUUUUAUUGUUCUGUUUGUUUUAUUUUUAAAUUUAUUUUGCCACUGUUUUGAAUUUAAAAUAAUUCAAACAAUGCCAAAAGCUCCUCUGAAUAUUUUUAUUUUGCUAGAUGGACUUUUCCAAAAGCUCAUAAAAAUAUUUCAGGGGUAUUUGAAAUUAUAUUCUAGUUAUAUGAAUAUAAUUCAAAUUCAAAUAGCUAAUGAUUUAAAUUCAAAGUCCCAAAAUUAAGUCCUUAAAAUGUUCAAUAUUUUGGUUGGGACCAGAACCCUUUGCCAAAAUUAUCAAACAUUUAAGAAGAGCAUUUUGGAACAAUGAAUGAGAUUUUAGGGUUUUUGCCCUUCUUUUAUUUAGGGUUUUGAGGCUUCUAAAUUCCUCAGUUCAAGUUUCAAAAAUUUAAACAUGAUGCAUGGAUGCAAUGCCACUAGUUACAGGCAAGCUCUAGGGCUGUGACACUUUCAGAACGCGCUCUUCGCGCCACAAAGCCGCCCCAAGACGCGCGAGCAAUGAGCAUCGAGCUUAAACAUAUCGGAAACGUCAAAAAUAAUAUAACGUGAAUAAUAUAUAUCGCGCACGUGCGAUAUGUUUGUCACGAGGCGCAAAAAAUAAUUAAAAAGGGAAUGCAACACGAGGACUUCCCAGGAGGUCACCCAUCCUAGUACUACUCUCGCCCAAGCACACUUAACUUUGGAGUUUUGAUGGGAUCCGGUGCUUUAGUGCUGGUAUGAUCGCAUCCAACAUGUUUCCCCGUCUUCGUCCCUUAUGCUUGCCACUCCCAGGUCCGCUCCAAAGACGAUUCUACAUUCUCACAACCAUUACAACCGUUCCCUAACAAUGGAUAAUGUCCUACACUACUUACUCUCCCGCUCAAUCACGGAGACGGGUUUUCCACGGUUUCCACCCCUCCCUCCAUACCGCAGCAACACGAGUUCUUUCCACCCCUUUCAGAACACGCUCUUCGCGCCACAAAGCCGCCCCAAGACGCGCGAGCAAUGAGCAUCGAGUUUAAACAUAUCGCAAACGUCAAAAAUAAUAUAACGAGAUUAAUAUAUAUCGCGCACGUGCGAUAUGUUUGUCACAAGGCGCAAAAAACAAUUAAAAAGGGAAUGCAACACGAGGACUUCCCAGGAGGUCACCCAUCCUAGUACUACUCUCGCCCAAGCACGCUUACCUACGGAGUUCUGAUGGGAUCCGGUGCUUUAGUGCUGGUAUGAUCGCAUCCAACAUGUUUCCCCGUCUUCGUCCCUUAUGCUUCCCAGGUCCGCUCCAAAGACGAUUCUACAUUCUCACUACCAUUACAACCGUUCCCUAACAAUGGAUAAUGUCCUAUACUACUUACUCUCCCGCUCAAUCAUGGAGACGAGUUUUCCACGGUUUCCUCCCCUCCCUCCAUACCGCAGCAACACGAGUUUUUUCCACCCCUUUCAGAACGCGCUCUUCGCGCCACAAAGCAGCCCCAAGACGCACGAGCAAUGAGCAACGAGCUUAAACAUAUCGCAAACGUCAAAAAUAAUAUAAUGGGAUUAAUAUAUAUCGCGCACGUGCGAUAUGUUUGUCACAAGGCGCAAAAAAUAAUUAAAAAGGGAAUGCAACACGAGGACUUCCUAGGAGGUCACCCAUCCUAGUACUACUCUCGCCCAAGCACGCUUAACUUCGGAGUACUGAUGGGAUCCGGUGCUUUAGUGCUGGUAUGAUCGCAUCUGACAUGUUUCCCCGUCUUCGUCCCUUAUGCUUCCCAGGUCCGCUCCAAAGAUGAUUCUACAUUCUCACUACCUUUACAACCGUUCCCUAACAAUGGAUAAUGUCCUAUACUACUUACUCUCCCGCUUAAUCACGGAGACGAGUUUUCCACGCUUUCCACCCCUCCCUCCAUACCGCAGCAACACGAGUUUUUUCCACCCCUUUCAGAACACGCUCUUCGCGCCACAAAGCCGCCCCAAGACGCGCGAGCAAUGAGCAUCGAGCUUAAAAAUAUCGCAAAUGUCAAAAAUAAUAUAACGGGAUUAAUAUAUAUCGCGCACGUGCGAUAUGUUUGUCACAAGGCGCAAAAAAUAAUUAAAAAGGGAAUGCAACACGAGGACUUCCCAGGAGGUCACCCAUCCUAGUACAACUCUCGCCCACGCACGCUUAACUUCGGAGUUCCGAUGGGAUUCGAUGCUUUAGUGCUGGUAUGAUCCCAUCCGACAUGUUUCCCCGUCUUCGUCCCUUAUGCUUCCCAGGUCCGCUCCAAAGACGAUUCUACAUUCUCACUACCAUUACAACCGUUCCCUUACAAUGGAUAAUGUCCUAUACUAUUUACUCUCCCGCUCAAUCACGGAGACGAGUUUUCCACGGCUUCCACCCCUCCCUCCAUACUGCAGCAACACGAGUUUUUUCCACCCCUUUCAGAACGCGCUCUUCGCACCACAAAGCCGCCCCAAGACGCGCGAGUAAUGAGCAUCGAGCUUAAACAUAUCGCAAACGUCAAAAAUAAUAUAACGGGAUUAAUAUAUAUCGCGCACGUGCGAUAUGUUUGUCACAAGGCGCAAAAAACAAUUAAAAAGGGAAUGCAACACAAGGACUUCCCAGGAGGUCACCCGUCCUAGUACAACUCUCGCCCAAGCACGCUUAACUUCGGAGUUCUGAUGGGAUUCGGUGCUUUAGUGCUGGUAUGAUCGCAUCCGACAUGUUUCCCCGUCUUCGUCCCAUAUGCUUGCCACUCCCAGGUCCGCUCCAAAGACGAUUCUACAUUCUCACUACCAUUACAACCGUUCCCUAACAAUGGAUAAGGUCCUAUACUACUUACUCUCCCGCUCAAUCAUGGAGACGAGUUUUCCACUGUUUCCACCCCUCCCUCCAUACCGCAGCAACAUGAGUUUUUUCCACCCCUUUUAGAACGCGCUCUUCGCGCCACAAAGCCGCCCCAAGACACGCGAGCAAUGAGCAUCGAGCUUAAACAUAUCGCAAACGUCAAAAAUAAUAUAACGGGAAUAAUAUAUAUCGCGCACGUGCGAUAUGCUUGUCACAAGGCGCAAAAAAUAAGUAAAAAGGGAAUCCAACACGAGGACUUCCCAGGAGGUCACCCAUCCUAGUACUACUCUCGCCCAAGCACGCUUAACUUCGGAGUUUUGAUGGGACCCGGUGCUUUAGUGCUGGUAUGAUCGCAUCCGACAUGUUUCCCCGUCUUCGUCCCAUAUGCUUGCCACUCCCAGGUCCGCUCCAAAGACGAUUCUACAUUCUCACUACCAUUACAACCGUUCCCUAACAAUGGAUAAUGCCCUAUACUACUUCCUCUCCCGCUCAAUCACGGAGACGAGUUUUCCACGGUUUCCACCCCUCCCUCCAUACCGCAGCAACACGAGUUUUUUCCUCCCCUUUCAGAACGCGCUCUUCGCGCCACAAAGCCGCCCCAAGAUGCGCGAGCAAUGAGCAUCGAGCUUAAACAUAUCGCAAACGUUAAAAAAUAAUAUAACGGUAUUAAUAUAUAUCGCGCACGUGCGAUAUGUUUGUCACAAGGCGCAAAAAAUAAUUAAAAAGGGAAUGCAACACGAGGAGUUCCCAGGAGGUCGCCCAUCCUAGUACUACUCUCGUCGAAGCACGCUUAACUACGGAGUUCUGAUGGGAUCCGGUGCUUUAGAGCUGGUAUGAUCGCAUCAAACAUGUUUCCCCGUCUUCGUCCCUUAUGCUUCCCAGGUCCGCUCCAAAGACGAUUCUACAUUCUCACUACCAUUACAACCGUUCCCUAACAAUGGAUAAUGUCCUAUACUACUUACUCUCCCGCUCAAUCACGGAGACGAGUUUUCCACGGUUUCCUCCCCUCCCUCCAUACCGCAGCAACACGAGUUUUUUUCACCCCUUUCAGAACGCGCUCUUCGCGCCACAAAGCCGCCCCAAGACGCACGAGCAAUGAGCAUCGAGCUUAAACAUAUCGCAAACGUCCAAAAUAAUAUAACGAGAUUAAUAUAUAUCGCGCACAUGCGAUAUGUUUGUCACAAGGCACAAAAAAUAAUUAAAAAAGGAAUGCAACACGAGGACUUCCUAGGAGGUCACCCAUCCUAGUACUACUCUCGCCCAAGCACGCUUAACUUCAGAGUUCUGAUGGGAUCCGGUGCUUUAGUGCUGGUAUGAUCGCAUCCGACAUGUUUCCCCGUCUUCGUCCCUUAUGCUUCCCAGGUCCGCUCCAAAGAUGAUUCUACAUUCUCACUACCAUUACAACCGUUCCCUAACAAUGGAUAAUGUCCAAUACUACUUACUCUCCCGCUUAAUCACAGAGACGAGUUUUCCACGGUUUCCAACCCUCCCUCCAUACCACAGCAACACGAGUUUUUUCCACCCCUUUCAGAACGCGCUCUUCGCGCCACAAAGCCGCCCCAAGACGCGCGAGCAAUGAGCAUCGAGCUAAAACAUAUCGCAAACGUCAAAAAUAAUAUAACGGGAUUAAUAUAUAUCGCGCACGUGCGAUAUGUUUGUCACAAGGCACAAAAAAUAAUUAAAAAGGGAAUGCAACACAAGGACUUCCCAGGAGAUCACUCAUCCUAGUACUACUCUCGCCCACGCACGCUUAACUUCGGAGUUCCGAUGGGAUCCGGUGCUUUAGUGCUGGUAUGAUCGCAUCCGACAUGUUUCCCCGUCUUCGUCCCUUAUGCUUCCCAGGUCCGCUCCAAAGACGAUUCUACAUUCUCACUACCAUUACAACCGUUCCCUAACAAUGGAUAAUGUCCUAUACGACUUACUCUCCCGCUCAAUCACGGAGACGAGUUUUCAACGGCUUCCACCCCUCCCUCCAUACCGCAGCAACACGAGUUUUUUCCACCCCUUUCAGAACGUGCUCUUCGCGCCACAAAGCCGCCCCAAGACGCGCGAGCAAUGAGCAUCGAGCUUAAACAUAUCGCAAACGUCAAAAAUAAUAUAACGGGAUUAAUAUAUAUCGCGCACCUGCGAUAUGUUUGUCACAAGGCACAAAAAAUAAUUAAAAAGGGAAUGCAACACGAGGACUUCCCAGGAGGUCACCCAUCCUAGUACUACUCUCGCCCAAGCACGCUUAACUUCAGAGUUCUGAUGGGAUCCGGUGCUUUAGUGCUGGAAUGAUUGCAUUCAACAUGUUUCCCCGUCUUCGUCCCUUAUGCUUGCCACUCCCAGGUCCGCUCCAAAGACGAUUCUACAUUCUCACUACCAUUACAACCGUUCCCUAACAAUGGAUAAUGUCCUAUACUACUUACUCUCCCGCUCAAUCACGGAGACGAGUUUUCCACGGUUUCCACCCCUCCCUCCAUACCGCAGCAACACGAGUUUUUUCCACCCCUUUCAGAACGCGCUCUUCGCGCCACGAAGCCGCCCCAAGACGCGCGAGCAAUGAGCAUCGAGCUUAAACAUAUCGCAAACGUCAAAAAUAAUAUAACGGGAUUAAUAUAUAUCCCGCACGUGCGAUAUGUUUGUCACAAGGCGCAAAAAAUAAUUAAAAAGGGAAUGCAACACGAGGACUUCCCAGGAGGUCACCCAUCCUAGUACUACUCUCGCCCAAGCAUGCUUAACUUCAGAGUUCUGAUGGGAUCCGGUGCUUUAGUGCUAGUAUGAUCGCAUCCGACAUGUUUCCCCGUCUUCGUCCCUUAUGCUUGCCACUCCCAGGUCCGCUCCAAAGACGAUUCUACAUUCUCACUACCAUUACAACCGUUCCCUAACAAUGGAUAAUGUUCUAUACUACUUACUCUCCCGCUCAAUCACGGAGACGAGUUUUCCACGGUUUCCACCCCUCCCUCCAUACCGCAGCAACACGAGUUUUUUCCACCCCUUUCAGAACGCGCUCUUCGCACCACAAAGCCGCCCCAAGACGUGCGAGCAAUAAGCAUCGAGCUUAAACAUAUCGCAAACGUCAAAAAUAAUAUAACGGGAUUAAUAUGUAUCGCGCACAUGCGAUAUGUUUGUCACAAGGCGCAAAAAAUAAUUAAAAAGGGAAUGCAGCACGAGGAGGUCACCCAUCCUAGUACUACUCUCGCCCAAGCAUGCUUAACUUCGGAGUUCUGAUUGGAUCCGGUGCUUUAGUGCUGGUAUGAUCGCAUCCGACAUGUUUCCCUGUCUUCGUCCCUUAUGCUUCCCAGGUCCGCUCCAAAGAUGAUUCUACAUUCUCACUACCAUUACAACCGUUCCCUAACAAUGGAUAAUGUCCAAUACUACUUACUCUCCCGCUUAAUCACGGAGACAAGUUUUCCACGGUUUCCACCACUCCCUCCAUACCGCAGCAACACGAGUUUUUUCCACCCCUUUCAGAACGCGCUCUUCGCGCCACAAAGCCGCCCCAUGACGCGCGAGCAAUGAGCAUCGAGCUUAAACAUAUCGCAAACGUCAAAAAUAAUAUAACGGGAUUAAUAUAUAUCGCGCACGUGCGAUAUGUUUGUCACAAGGCGCAAAAAUAAUUAAAAAGGGAAUGGAACACGAGGACUUCCCAGGAGGUCACCCAUCCUAGUACUACUCUCACCCAAGCAUGCUUAACUUCGGAGUUCUGAUGGGAUCCGGUGCUUUAGUGCUGGUAUGAUCGCAUCCGACAUGUUUCCCCGUCUUCGUCCCUUAUGCUUGCCACUCCUAGGUCCGCUCCAAAGACGAUUCUACAUUCUCACUACCAUUACAAUCGUUCUCUAACAAUGGAUAAUGUCCUAUACUACUUACUCUCCCGCUCAAUCACGGAGCCGAGUUUUCCACGGUUUCCACCCCUCCCUCCAUACCGCAGCAACACGAGUUUUUUCCACCCCUUUCAGAACGCUCUCUUCGCGCCACAAAGCCGCCCCAAGACGUGCGAGCAAUAAGCAUCGAGCUUAAACAUAUCGCAAACGUCAAAAAUAAUAUAACGGGAUUAAUAUAUAUCGCGCACGUGCGAUAUGUUUGUCACAAGGCGCAAAAAAUAAUUAAAAAGGGAAUGCAACACGAGGACUUCCCAGGAGGUCACCCAUCCUAGUACUACUCUCGCCCAAGCACGCUUAACUUCGGAGUUCUGAUGGGAUCCGGUGCUUUAGUGCUGGUAUGAUCGCAUCCGACAUGUUUCCCCGUCUUCGUCCCUUAUGCUUCCCAGGUCCGCUCCAAAGAUGAUUCUACAUUCUCCCUACCAUUACAUCCGUUCCCUAACAAUGGAUAAUGUCCAAUACUACUUACUCUCCCGCUUAAUCACGGAGACGAGUUUUCCACGGUUUCCACACCUCCCUCCAUACCGCAGCAACACGAGUUUUUUCCACCCCUUUCAGAACGCGCUCUUCGCGCCACAAAGUCGCCCCAAGACGCGCGAGCAAUGAGCAUCGAGCUUAAACAUAUCGCAAACGUCAAAAAUAAUAUAACGGGAUUAACAUAUAUCGCGCACGUGCGAUAUGUUUGUCACAAGGCGCAAAAAAUAAUUAAAAAGGGAAUGCAACACGAGGACUUCCCAGGAGGUCACCCAUCCUAGUACUACUCUCGCCCACGCACGCUUAACUUCGGAGUUUCGAUGGGAUCCGGUGCUUUGGUGCUGGUAUGAUUGCAUCCGACAUGUUUCCCCGUCUUCGUCCCUUAUGCUCCCGAGGUCCGCUCCAAAGACGAUUCUACAUUCUCACUACCAUUACAACCGUUCCCUAACAAUGGAUAAUGUCCUAUACUACUUACUCUCCCGCUCAAUCACGGAGACGAGUUUUCAACGGCUUCCACCCCUCCCUCCAUACCGCAGCAACACGAGUUUUUUCCACCCCUUUCAGAAUGCGCUCUUCGCGCCACAAAGCCGCCCCAAGACGCGCGAGCAAUGAGCAUCGAGCUAAAACAUAUCGCAAACGUCAAAAAUAAUAUAACGGGAUUAAUAUAUAUCACGCACGUGCGAUAUGUUUGUCACAAGGCGCAAAAAAUAAUUAAAAAGGGAAUGCAACACGAGGAGGUCACCCAUCCUAGUACUACUCUCGCCCAAGCACGCAUAACUUCGGAGUUCUGCUGGGAUCCGAUGCUUUAGUGCUGGUAUGAUCGCAUCCGACAUGUUUCCCCGUGUUCGUCCCUUAUGCUUGCCACUCCCAGGUCCGCUCCAAAGACGAUUCUACAUUCUCACUACCAUUACAACCGUUCCCUAACAAUGGAUAAUGUCCUAUACUACUUACUCUCCCGCUCAAUCACGGAGACGAGUUUUCCAAGGUUUCCACACCUCCCUCCAUACCGCAGCAACACGAGUUUUUUACACCCCUUUCAGAACGCGCUCUUCGCGCCACGAAGCCGCCCCAAGACGCGCGAGCAAUAAGCAUCGAGCUUAAACAUAUCGCAAACGUCAAUAAUAAUAUAACGGGAUUAACAUAUAUCGCGCACGUGCGAUAUGUUUGUCACAAGGCGCAAAAAAUAAUUAAAAAGGGAAUGCAACACGAGGACUUCCCAGGAGGUCACCCAUCCUAGUACUACUCUCGCCCACGCACGCUUAACUUCGGAGUUUCGAUGGGAUCCGGUGCUUUGGUGCUGGUAUGAUUGCAUCCGACAUGUUUCCCCGUCUUCGUCCCUUAUGCUCCCGAGGUCCGCUCCAAAGACGAUUCUACAUUCUCACUACCAUUACAACCGUUCCCUAACAAUGGAUAAUGUCCUAUACUACUUACUCUCCCGCUCAAUCACGGAGACGAGUUUUCAACGGCUUCCACCCCUCCCUCCAUACCGCAGCAACACGAGUUUUUUCCACCCCUUUCAGAAUGCGCUCUUCGCGCCACAAAGCCGCCCCAAGACGCGCGAGCAAUGAGCAUCGAGCUAAAACAUAUCGCAAACGUCAAAAAUAAUAUAACGGGAUUAAUAUAUAUCACGCACGUGCGAUAUGUUUGUCACAAGGCGCAAAAAAUAAUUAAAAAGGGAAUGCAACACGAGGAGGUCACCCAUCCUAGUACUACUCUCGCACAAGCACGCAUAACUUCGGAGUUCUGCUGGGAUCCGAUGCUUUAGUGCUGGUAUGAUCGCAUCCGACAUGUUUCCCCGUCUUCGUCCCUUAUGCUUGCCACUCCCAGGUCCGCUCCAAAGACGAUUCUACAUUCUCACUACCAUUACAACCGUUCCCUAACAAUGGAUAAUGUCCUAUACUACUUACUCUCCCGCUCAAUCACGGAGACGAGUUUUCCAAGGUUUCCACACCUCCCUCCAUACCGCAGCAACACGAGUUUUUUACACCCCUUUCAGAACGCGCUCUUCGCGCCACGAAGCCGCCCCAAGACGCGCGAGCAAUAAGCAUCGAGCUUAAACAUAUCGCAAACGUCAAUAAUAAUAUAACGGGAUUAAUAUAUAUCGCACACGUGCGAUAUGUUUGUCACAAGGCGCAAAAAAUAAUUAAAAAGGGAAUGCAACACGAGGACUUCCCAGGAGGUCACCCAUCCUAGUACUACUCUCACCCAAGCACGCUUAACUUCGAAGUUCUGAUGGGAUCCGGUGCUUUAGUGCAGGUAUGAUCGCAUCCAACAUCUUUUCCCGUCUUCGUCCCUUAUGCUUGCCACUCCCAGGUCCGCUCCAAAGACGAUUCUACAUUCUCACUGCCAUUACAACCGUUCCCUAAUAAUGGAUAAUGUCCUAUACUACUUACUCUCCCGCUCAAUCACGGAGCCGAGUUUUCCACGGUUUCCACCCCUCCCUCCAUACCGCAGCAACACGAGUUUUUUCCACCCCUUUCAGAACGCGCUCUUCGCGCCACAAAGCCGCCCCAAGACGUGCGAGCAAUAAGCAUCGAGCUUAAACAUAUCGCAAACGUCAAAAAUAAUAUAACGGGAUUAAUAUAUAUCGCGCACGUGCGAUAUGUUUGUCACAAGGCGCAAAAAAUAAUUAAAAAGGGAAUGCAACACGAGGACUUCCCAGGAGGUCACCCAUCCUAGUACUACUCUCGCCCAACCACGCUUAACUUCGGAGUUCUGAUGGGAUCCGGUGCUUUAGUGCUGGUAUGAUCGCAUCCGACAUGUUUCCCCGUCUUCGUCCCUUAUGCUUCCCAGGUCCGCUCCAAAGAUGAUUCUACAUUCUCCCUACCAUUACAACCGUUCCCUAACAAUGGAUAAUGUCCAAUACUACUUACUCUCCCGCUUAAUCACGGAGACGAGUUUUCCACGGUUUCCACACCUCCCUCCAUACCGCAGCAACACGAGUUUUUUCCACCCCUUUCAGAACGCGCUCUUCGCGCCACAAAGCCGCCGCAAGACGCGCGAGCAAUGAGCAUCGAGCUUAAACAUAUCGCAAACGUCAAAAAUAAUAUAACGGGAUUAAUAUAUAUCGCGCACGUGCGAUAUGUUUGUCACAAGGCGCAAAAAAUAAUUAAAAAGGGAAUGCAACACGAGGACUUCCCAGGAGGUCACCCAUCCUAGUACUACUCUCGCCCACGCACGCUUAACUUCGGAGUUCCGAUGGGAUCCGGUGCUUUGGUGCUGGUAUGAUUGCAUCCGACAUGUUUCCCCGUCUUCGUCCCUUAUGCUCCCGAGGUCCGCUCCAAAGACGAUUCUACAUUCUCACUACCAUUACAACCGUUCCCUAACAAUGGAUAAUGUCCUAUACUACUUACUCUCCCGCUCAAUCACGGAGACGAGUUUUCAAUGGCUUCCACCCCUCCCUCCAUACCGCAGCAACACGAGUUUUUUCCACCCCUUUCAGAAUGCGCUCUUCGCGCCACAAAGCCGCCCCAAGACGCGCGAGCAAUGAGCAUCGAGCUAAAACAUAUCGCAAACGUCAAAAAUAAUAUAACGGGAUUAAUAUAUAUCACGCACGUGCGAUAUGUUUGUCACAAGGCGUAAAAAAUAAUUAAAAAGGGAAUGCAACACGAGGAGGUCACCCAUCCUAGUACUACUCUCGCCCAAGCACGCAUAACUUCGGAGUUCUGCUGGGAUCCGAUGCUUUAGUGCUGGUAUGAUCGCAUCCGACAUGUUUCCCCGUCUUCGUCCCUUAUGCUUGCCACUCCCAGGUCCGCUCCAAAGACGAUUCUACAUUCUCACUACCAUUACAACCGUUCCCUAACAAUGGAUAAUGUCCUAUACUACUUACUCUCCCGCUCAAUCACGGAGACGAGUUUUCCACGGUUUCCACACCUCCCUCCAUACCGCAGCAACACGAGUUUUUUACACCCCUUUCAGAACGCGCUCUUCGCGCCACGAAGCCGCCCCAAGACGCGCGAGCAAUAAGCAUCGAGCUUAAACAUAUCGCAAACGUCAAUAAUAAUAUAACGGGAUUAAUAUAUAUCGCACACGUGCGAUAUGUUUGUCACAAGGCGCAAAAAAAAAUUAAAAAGGGAAUGCAACACGAGGACUUCCCAGGAGGUCACCCA